CAAGUUCUUCUACCUCCCCCAAUAGGAAAGAAGGCACCACUGAUGCUGCUAAGAUGUUCACCAAGAAGGCUGAAACCGCUACCACACCUGAAGAGGCCGCGGCUGCCAAGCAAGCUGCAGCCAAGUCUACCGCUGCUGCAUCAAAGUAUGGUGUCAUUUCUCAGCAAGUAGCUGGUACAAGUUCUUCUACCUCCCCUAGCAGGAAAGAAGCUGCCGGUACCUUGGCAGGUGCUCGCAUAGCUGCUGCCGAGAAGUCCAUCAAGAAGGCUGAAACCACCACAAGACCUGAAGAGGCAACAUCCGCUAAGAAGGAUGCCGCGAAAUCCGAGGCUGAUGCAAUGAAGUACGGGGCCAUCUCUCAGCAGGCCGCCGGCAAAAAUGGUGCCUAAGUGGUGCCUUAAACACCUAUUCACACGCAACAUCAUCUACAUACUACCAUGCAUGCAAAAUAGCAGCAUUCAGAUACCACAUUAUGCUAAUUCUCAUGCAUGCACGCUUUGUUUAAACGUUCCCAUUACGAAUCAUGUAUUAAUGUCUUGCUUGUUUUAUUUUUAGUAGUAAGACACGCUUGACUUGCUUUAAAAAAAAUACAACAAUCGACGUAUACAUGUAUUAUCUGAAAAUUAAUAAUAUGAGUUCCACCGCAAUUUGUUUCUUUUUGUCAUAAUUUGGGUGCAAUCAAUGCACACAUCCAAUACACAAAAUUGGACGACUCAAUGUGUUAUGGCUCCAUGGAGCGGCGAAUCAUGUUUUAUUGUCUUGCUUGUUUUACUUUUAGUAGUAAUGUCUUGCUGGUCAAUGUAUUAUGGCUCCAUGGAGCGGCAUAAUGAUAUAUGAUAUAUCUUCACUACUUCAAAAAGAACUUAAGGUUUUGUCAUACAUCUUUCCUUCAUCCAUCCUCCCUACGAAUCCUUCCUGUUUUGAUUUUUUCUCCCAUCUUUGAUUUUUCUCCCCAUUGAUUCUACCUAAAAACCACCUCAAUGUCACAUGUUUACUGUAUAUGUCAAGGCCUCCUUUGGUUCAUAGGGUAGAAAAAACAUAGGAAUAGGAAAGUCAUAGGAAAUGAGAUGACAUGUAUCUCAAAUCCUAUGAUUGGGAAUAGGAAAGGAGAUGCCCUUUGAUUCACAUCAUAGGAUUUUUUCAUUGAAUCUAGGCUAAUGUUUAUUUUCCUAUGAAAUGUGAAGGAGAGGAAGAAUUCCUCCAUAGGAUUAGGAUUCCAUUCCUACAAACCAAAGGACUCUAAAGGAAUUUUUCCUAUAGAAAUCCUAUCCUAUGAAAUUCUUACAAGAUUCCUCCAAAUCAAAGGAGGCCCAAGUGGUUGUGAUGAGACAGUGGCUGGGCACUUCAGAUUUAUUCCCGUAACUGACUGUCAAAUUGAGUCAUCUGUCAUCCUUUCGAUGAUUGUAAGAAAGUUAUAUGUUUAUUGUAUGUGCCAAGUGGUUGUGAUUAUCGUUACCGGCCACAAAGUUAUAUUUUCUUGUCUUAACGAAGGGUUGCAUACAAUGCGUGUAGCUCUUGACGCCUGAUAACCCACAAGUAUAGGGGAUCGCAACAGUUUUUGAGGGUAGAGUAUUCAACACAAAUUUAUAGAUUCGACACAAGGGAGCCAAAGAAUAUUUGUAAGUAUUAACAACUGAGUUGUCAAUUCAACCACACCUGAAGAUUAAUUAUCUGCAGCAAAGUGAUCAGUAGCAUAGUAGUAUGAUAGUUUUGAUAGUAGUAGCAACAUCAACAGUAACGGUAACAGUGGUAGCAAUGGUUUUGUAGCAGUGACAAUAGUAACAGCAGCAGCAGUAACUUAGCAAGAACAAUAUGUACGAAAAUCGUACGCAUUGGAUCGGUGAUUUGUUGGAUGAUAUUCAUCAUGUGACAGUUACAACCUAGGACGAUACGGCACUAGCUCCAGUUCAUAAAUAUAAUGUAGGCAUGUAUUCUAUAAAUAAUCAUACGUGCUUAUGAAAAGAACUUGUAUGACAUCUUUUGUCCUACCCUCCUGUGGCAGCGGGGUCCUAUUGGAAACUAAGGGAUAUUAAGGCCUCCUUUUAAUAGAGAACCAGAAUAAAGCAUUAACACACGUGAAUACAUGAACUCCUCAAACUACGGUCAUCACAGGGAAGUGUCCCGACUAUUGUCACUCCGGGGUUGCCGGAUCAUAACACGUAGUAGGUAACUAUAACUUGCAAGGUUGGAUCUAGAACAUAGAUAUAAUGGUGAUAACAUAAGUCAUAGCAACAUCAAUCAAGAACAUAAUGGAUACUAGGGAUGAAGCCCUAACAAAACUAACUCAAUUACAUGAUGAAUCUCAUCCAACUCCUCACUGACCAGCGAGCCUACGAAGGAAUUACUCACUCCUGGUGGGGAGCAUCAUGGAAUUGGCGAUGGAGAAGGGUUGGUGAUGACGAAGAUCGAAGAUCCCACUCUCUGGAGCCCCAAACGGACUCCAAAUCUAGCCUCCCGAUGAAGAACAGGAGAUGACGGCGGCUCCGUCUUGUGGAUCGUGAUAAUUCUUUCUCCCUGAUUUUUUUCUGGAAAAAUAGGAUUUUAUAGCGUCGGAUUCAGGGCCUGCGGGGCCACCAGGUGGGGACAACCCACCUGGGUGUGCUUGGAGGGGGGGGGGGGCUGGUGGGUUGUGCCCAUCCAGGUGCCCCCCUCCGAUUGUUCUUGGCUCCAGAAAUUCUCUGUAUUUGUAUAAAAAUUCCUCGCAAAGUUUUGUUCCAAUCCGAAAACUUUUAUUUCUGCACAAAAAAAACACCAUGGUAGUUUUGUUGGAAACAACGUCAGUCCGGGUUAGUUUCAUUCAAAUCAUGCAAAUUAGAGUCCAAAACAAGAGGAAAGUGUUAGGAAAAGUAGAUACGACGGAGACGUAUCAACUCCUCCAAGCUUAAACCUUUGCUUGUCCUUAAGCAAUUCAGUUGAUAAACUGAAAGUGAAAAAAAAUUAUGAACUCUUUUGCUCUUGUUUUCAUAAAUAAGCUUAAACAUCACCCAGUGUCGGUGUCGAAACCGGCGGAUCUCGGAUAGGGGGUUCCGAACUAUGCGUCUAGGCGGAUGGUAACAGGAGACAAGGGACACGAUGUUUACCCAGGUUCGGGCCCUCUCGAUGGAGGUAAAACCCUACUCCUGCUUGAUUAAUAUUGAUGAUAUGGGUAGUACAAGAGUAAAUCUACCACGAGAUCAAGGAGGCUAAACCCUAGAAGCUAGCCUAUGGUAUGAUUGUUGUUGUCCUACGGACUAAAACCCUCCGGUUUAUAUAGACACCGGAGAGGGUUAGGGUUACACAGAGUCGGUUACAAUGGUAGGAGACCUACAUAUCCGUAUCACCAAGCUUGCCUUCCACGCCAAGGAAAGUCCCUUCCGGACACGGGACGAAGUCUUCAAUCUUGUAUGUUCAUAGUCCGGGAGUCCGGCUGAAGGUAUCGUCCGGCUAUCCGGACACCCCCUAAUUCAGGACUCCCUCAGAGCCCCCGAACGAGGCUUCAAUGACGACGAGUCCGGCGCGCAAAUUGUCUUCGGCAUUGCAAGGCGGGUUCUCCUUCAAUUUCUGUGUACCUGCUGAAUAAUGUCCGGUUUCUUAUAAAUGUAGCGCUCCUCGGCUUCCACGCCCAAUAAUGGCCGUCUUCCACGUGUCAAAUGAAUACGAAAAGUCUGGGUGUUUUUACAUUCACACCCCCAGCCGCGUAAAUGAGCUGCCUAUUUAAAGGGACGGGGAUUUAGAUCCAAACCACACCUUCUCCUCUCCGCGAGUUUCAUCAGAGCGCAUCCGACAAAGGACCGUUCCAUCAUGGCCAGCGGUCGCAGCUCCUCCUCUCGCCCUUCCAGCCCUCAUCCUGGAGAUUGGGAGAGAUGCUCCGUCCCGCACAUCGAGCUAGUGUCGCUUCGGACCAAAGGGAUUUCUUCCUCCUGCCUAUAUGGUCCCGGUUCGAGCCGGACUUGCCACCUAUAAUGGCGGAGAGCAAGCGGAGAACGCCCCCAAUCCCUCCAAAGGAGAGCGGGUAUGCCUUGUCCCUUAUUUAAUAAGAGGGCUCGGAUUUCCAAUUCAUCCAUUUCUCCGGGGGCUCCUGGAGUUCUACGGCCUCCAGCUGCACAACCUCAUGCCUGUCUCCGUAUUGCAUAUUGCGGGCUUCGUAGCCCUUUGCGAGUUGUUUUUGGGUGUUGAGGCUCAUUUCGCGCUGUGGAAGAGGCUAUUUUGCCUUGUGCCCUGUUCUUAGGAGGGGUCAAUAUAUCAAGUGGGCGGAGCCAAAGUGUGGUGUAUCGCCAGGACCGGAUAUCUAUCCGGAACCCCAAAGAAGGCGUCCGAGGACUGGCCUUCAGAAUGGUUUUAUAUAGAGGACGUCCCGUUGCCGGAUCCUGUUCGGAUCGGCCUCCCUGAGUUCAACAGCGCUCCCCUGAAGAAACGUCUAAGCUGGCACCCACGGAGCCCUCAGAGAGAAAGUGACAAGGACGUUCUUUACCUGAUGGGCCGGAUAAGAUUAUUAGCUCAUUCCGGACUAACCAUGAUCGGAGUCAUGGCCGCAUGCAUCAUGCGAGGGGUGCAACCGCUUCAGUACAGAGGCCACCCCAUGUGGGACUUCAACGGGGAGGAUGAUGCCACCCGUCACGGCCGUAAGGGGCCGGACUCGGCUACCGCUCUAGUAAAGAUCUUGUCCGCUUUGUACAAGGGAGAAGAGGAGGAAUUUCUCCGCGUCAACCCACAGGGUGGAUUUACCAUGUACAAUCCCCCAAGUUGGGUAAGUGGGCAAUUUUACUUGCCCGUCUGUUUUGUAUUCCCAUCAUUAAAUAUAUAGUCUAACGACUUCAACGCAGGAACUGCGCCAGGAAGUAAAGGACAUAAACAGCCCGCCUCCACAGCCUGAGGACCCAGAGUUGUCCCUCGAUCCGGCCUCCGAAGAGGAUCCGGACUUAUCCAUGGAGUUAAUUGAUGGGGUGUUUUAUCAAUUGAGCAAGGACAAUGCCUUGGUGGCCAUUAAGGCCGAUUACCCGGGGCUGCUCCCGGCCUCCCAGGUAACUGAGACCGAAGUCCUAGCACCUCAAAAAGGGAUCCGCCCUCGCGUGUUUUUCAGUUUCCUGACAACAACCGUGUUUUGUAGGGGAGGUUCUUGAGACGGGAGGCCGAGCCUGCGGUGACUAGCCAACGAGGGGCCACAGGGCCCCGUGGGAUGAAAAGAAGUGCAGUCCGGACUGAGGCACCGGCGCAGAGGUAUAGCGCGCCUUCUUAUUCCCAGGUGUUAUUCCUUCAAGGCAUAUUAACACUCGUGCUCUUUUCAGGACAAAAAGACCCCGCCGGACUAUAUCCAGAGAGGCUGCCAAUCGCGCCUCCACCAGCCAGGAUCCAAAGCCUGGUCCGGAGACGGAGGCGAACACGAGGCGCGCACCGGACGCUCCUCCAACAGAUGAUGCGGACAGGCUGUCCGCCACUAAUUCCGAGGUGGAGAGUGCCAUGAACCACAGGCGUCGCCGGACAGUUCUUCGCGACGCUUGUUUCUCCCAAGAGGCAUUGGACGCCUUCAAUUCGGGAGAUGCGUACCUUCGUGCCGCUCAAAAUGGUCUAGCCAGAGCCACGGAGCAAUAUGUAAAAGACAUACGGGUGAGAAAAUUUAAUGGUUAUAUAUAUCAGUAGCCCCCGAGACUUGAAACAGUUAGAAGAACUGAUUUAAGGAUCAUUCAUAAUGCAGGUUCUUGCGGAAAAGAAUACCCAACUGUCCCAGGAGCUAGAAGAGUGCAAAGCCCAACUUGAGGCCGCACUAGCCGCGACAGGGGAGCCCAAGGAGACCCCCUCUGGUAAUAUGUGCUUCAAAAAGAGAAGUAUUUUGUGAAGUGCGGCGUAUGUGCAAAUCUGACGAAUGAAAUUGCAGAUGGCGCCGGAUUAGAUCCGGAAAAGCAACAAAUCCUACGCCAGCUAAAGGCUGGUGAGAGCGUGCUGACAAAGGUGAGGCGGGAGAAGAACGAUCUCCAAUAUGCCAACACCAAGCUGGGCGUUGAACUGAAAGAUGUUUGUGCCCAGUUGUCAGACUCCGCUAAGGAGAAUCAGCGGCUUCGACGCGGCAUAUUUAGUAAGUGCUUAAACGAACUUUGAAUAAAGAGUUCGACAAGGAAGUCGACUAACGGAGUAAUGUCUGUAGGUAUGCUAACAGGUCGUCCUGCAGAGGAGAUGCCCGGUUCUAUGGGUGACCUUCUUCUUGAGCUCUUGCAACUGCACGAGCGAGUUCAACAGGUGAUGCAGGGCGUCGCCCAGGCCUUGUGGCCAUCCAUCUCCAUGCCCGAAGGACUUGGAGAGGUUGCAGAGAAGCUGAAGGGAGCGCGGCGGCGCUUCCGAUUGUGGAAGAUAUCGGCCUGCCGUCAAGGCGCUAGGGAGGCCUGGGCCAUGGUGAAGACGCGGUACACGAAGGCUGACCCAAACCACAUGGCCGAGGUCGGACCUGUGGGGCCCGAUGGGAAGGAGAUCCCUGUAAGCUUAGUAUACGGCCAAGUAGAAUUGCCCGCAAAGUAUUCCCAGCAGGACUGUAAGCUAGACAGCAUGUUAGAUGGUAUUGAAGAGGAAUACAAUUAGUCAUAAUGACUAUGUAAUUUUAAUUGACAUGUGUAAUGCCUUCUAGCCGGAUUGUAGAUCGUUUUUCAUGGCCGACCUUUUUGCUUCGACCUCGGGACCUGACGGUCCGGAGUGUGUCCGAAUACCCUUGCGGUUAUAUAAGAACCGGGGUAUGCAUGGAGACCAGGCGUAGGGGUCAUUAGUGCUUGAACAGACAAGUGCCCGACUAGUUAUGUUAUAUUACAUGGUUAGUAAGAAACAUCUUCCAGGGAGAAUAGUUCCGUUAGGGGUUCCUUUCCCUGGGAGGCAUGCCCUAAAGUGCAUGUCCAUUCUGCGAAAAGAGACGCAGGAAAAAACAUCUGGGGGCGCAUAGAUAAAUAAGUGAAAAAAAUCAUCUUUAGUUCACCGACCGAAUAUUCCCUUAAGGACGCUAGCUUUCGGCUUCACCCAGUCUGAGGUACACAUCGGGCUGACCCGGCAGUAACAAUCGCAGAGGUGCUCCCUUUACCACCUAGCCGAACAAUCGGAAACAUAGGGCUAAGCACAGGAGCCAGGCAACCCAGCUUGGCUAAAACUUAAGUCAUAUCGAUACAUAUGAUGGUGAAUAAAAGGUACAUGCGGAAGUGUGACACAUGUGUUGGGCAUGAAGCCCGUAUAAGCUUCUGUUCAAAGAAGCCCCCAGGUUUAGUGAGCGCGGAUAGCGCGUCACUUGAUGAGCCUUUAAAGGCUAUAAGAGAAAGGAGGGGGAGAAGGAGAAAAUGGAAGACAGAAAAUAUAAAAAAUGGACAGAGGAAGGAGACGAACAUAGAAUCCGGCGCUAGGCAUAGAAUCUUCGGAGACGGGCUGCGUUCCAUGGGUUCGGCUCGAGUCGGUUAUCCGAUGCAUCUCACAGGCGGUACGUUCCACCAGUCAGGACUUGGUCAAUUAUGAAGGGACCUUCCCACUUGGGCUGGAGUUUGUCCUUUUUCUUGUCCGGCAGGCGUAGAACUAGUUCGCCAACAUUGUAAUUUUUGGCCCGUACUUCUCUGCUUUGAUAUCUUCGAGCCUGCUGUUGAUAGAAUGCGGAACGGGCUUUUGCCACGUCACGCUCCUCCUCCAAGGCGUCCAAACUGUCCUGCCGAUCGAGCUCGGCUUCUCUUUCUUCGUACAUGUGCACUCAAGGUGAGUCAUGAAUUAUAUCGCAGGGCAAAACUGCUUCUGCGCCGUACACCAUGAAGAAUGGUGUGUAUCCGGUGGUGCGAUUCGGCGUGGUCCGCAGCCCCCAGAGUACGGAGUCGAGCUCCUCUACCCAGUGCGUGUUAGAUUCCUUAAGGGACCGCACUAAUCUGGGUUUGAUGCCGCUCAUGAUAACACCAUUUGCGUGUUCGACCUGUCCGUUAGUUUGUGGGUGAUAGACGGAAGCAGAAUCGAGCUUGAUGCCCAUGUUUUUGCACCAGAGUUUUACCUCAUCGACCGUAAAGUUCGUACCGUUAUCAGUGAUGAUGCUGUGGGGGACGCCGUAACGGUGUACGACCCCGGAUAUAAAGUCUAUCACUGGUACAGAUUCGGCCGUCUUAAUAGGCUUGGCCUCUAUCCAUUUGGUGAACUUAUCCACCAUGACCAGUAAGUAUUUUUUCUUGUGGGUUCCGCCUUUAAGGGGUCCAACCAUGUCAAGCCCCCAGACCGCGAAGGGCCAAGUGAUGGGGAUAGUUUGGAGGGCGGUGGGUGGCAUAUGGCUUUGGUUUGGCAAAAGCUGGCAACCGACGCAUCGUUGGACUAAGUCCUGAGCGUCUGCCCGGGCCGUUGGCCAAUAAAAGCCUGUACGGAAAGCCUUGCUUACGAGGGACCAAGCUGCGGUGUGAUGACCACCGAGUCCGGCAUGAAUUUCAGCCAGCAAGUUCCGCCCAUCCUCCUCAGAGAUGCACCUUUGAAGGACUCCGGUAGUGCUUUUCUUAUAAAGCUCUCCCUCAUGGACUUUAUAGGCUUUAGAUCGCCGCACUAUGCAGCGUGCCUCAUUUUGGUCUUCUGGGAGUUCCUGCCUAGUAAGAUAGGCUAGGAAUGGUUCUGUCCACGGGGCGAUGACUGCCAUUAUUACGUGGGCUGAAUAUGUGACUUCAUUGGCAGAGUCUCCAAUUAUGUCAGUGUUGGCUAACGUAGCAGAAAUUCAAAAUUUUCCUACGUGUCACCAAGAUCUAUCUAUGCAGAAACCAGCAACGAGGGGAAGGAGAGUGCAUCUACAUACCCUUGUAGAUCGCUAAGCGGAAGCGUUCAAGAGAACGGGGUUGAAGGAGUCGUACUCGUCGUGAUCCAAAUCACCGAUGAUCCUAGUGCCGAACGGACGGCACCUCCGCGUUCAACACACGUACAGCCCGGUGACGUAUCCCACGCCUUGAUCCAGCAAGGAGAGAGGGAGAGGUUGAGGAAGACUCCAUCCAGCAGCAGCACAACGGCGUGGUGGUGGUGGAGGAGCGUGGCAAUCCUGCAGGGCUUCGCCAAGCACCACGGGAGAGGAGGAAGGAGAGAUGCAGGGCUGCAUCAUAUAGAGGAGAGGAACUCGCGUCUUAUGAGCAGCCCAAACCUCAACUAUAUAUAGGGGAAGGGGAGGGGCUGCGCCCCCUUUAGGGUUUCCACCCCUAGGGGUGGCGGCCAGCCUAGAUCCCAUCUAAGGGAGGCGGCCAAGGGGGAGGGGGAGAGGGAGGCGCACCAGGAUGGGCCUUAGGGCCCAUCUGCCCUAGGGUUUGCCCCCUUCUCCUCUCCCUUGCGCCUUGGGCCCUUGUGGGGGGGCGCACCAGCCCACCUGGGGCUGGUCCCCUUCCACACUUGGCCCAUGAAGCCCUCCGGGGCUGGUGGCCCCACUUGGUGGACCCCCGGGACCCUCCCGGUGGUCCCGGUACGUUACCGAUAAACCCCGAAACUUUUCCGGUGACCAAAACAGGACUUCCCAUAUAUAAAUCUUUACCUCCGGACCAUUCGGGAACUCCUCAUGACGUCCGGGAUCUCAUCCGGGACUCCUAACAACAUUCGGUAACCACAUACAAACUUCCUUUAUAACCCCAGCGUCAUCGAACCUUAAGUGUGUAGACCCUACGGGUUCGGGAGACAUGCAUACAUGACCGAGACGUUCUCCGGUCAAUAACCAACAGCGGGAUCUGGAUACCCAUGUUGGCUCCCACAUGUUCCACGAUGAUCUCAUCGGAUGAACCACGAUGGCAAGGACUUAAUCAAUCCCGUAUACAAUUCCCUUUGUCUAUCUGUACGAUACUCGCCCGAGAUUCGAUCGUCGGUAUCCCGAUACCUUGUUCAAUCUUGUUACCGGCAAGUCUCUUUACUCGUUCCGUAACACAUCAUCCCAUGAUCAACUCCUUGAUCACAUUGUGCACAUUAUGAUGAUGUCCUACCGAGUGGGCCCAGAGAUACCUCUCCGUCACACGGAGUGACAAAUCCCAGUCUCGAUUCGUGCCAACCCAACAGACACUUUCAGAGAUACCCGUAGUGUACCUUUAUAGCCACCCAGUUACGUUGUGACGUUUGGCACACCCAAAGCACUCCUACGGUAACCGGGAGUUGCACAAUCUCAUGGUCUAAGGAAAUGAUACUUGACAUUAGAAAAGCUUUAGCAUACGAACUACUUAGGAUUGGGUCUUGUCCAUCACAUCAUUCUCCUAAUGAUGUGAUCCCGUUAUCAACGACAUCCAAUGUCCAUGGUCAGGAAACCGUAACCAUCUAUUGAUCAACGAGCUAGUCAACUAGAGGCUUACUAGGGACAUGGUGUUGUCUAUGUAUCCACACAUGUAUCUGAGUUUCCUAUCAAUACAAUUCUAACAUGGAUAAUAAACGAUUAUCAUGAACAAGGAAAUAUAAUAAUAAUCAAUUUAUUAUUGCCUCUAGGGCAUAUUUCCAACAGUCUCCCACUUGCACUAGAGUCAAUAAUCCAGUUCACAUCGCUAUGUGACUAACACUCAAGGUCACAUGCCCAUGUGACUAACACCCAAAGAGUUUACUAGAGUCAAUAAUCUAGUUCACAUUUACCAUGUGAUUAACACUCGAUGAGUUCUGGGUUUGAUCAUGUUAUGCUUGUGAGAGAGGUUAUAGUCAACGGGUCUGAACCUUUCAGAUCCGUGUGUGCUUUACAAAUCUCUAUGUCAUCUCCUAGAUGCAGCUACCACGCUCUAUUUGGAGCUAUUCCAAAUAGCUGUUCUACUAUACGAAUCCAGUUUACUACUCAGAAUAAUCUGGAUUAGUGUCAAAGUUUGCAUCGGUGUAACCCUUUACGAUGAACUCUUUUACCACCUCCAUAAUCGAGAAAAUUCCUUAGUCCACUAGUUACUAAGGAUAACUUUGACCGCUGUCCUGUGAUCCAUUCUUGGAUCACUCUUGUACCCCUUGACUGACUCAUGGCAAGGCACACUUCAGGUGCGGUACAUAGCAUAGCAUACUGUAGAGCCUAUGUCUUAAGCAUAGGGGACGACCUUCGUUCUUUCUCUCUAUUCUGCCGUGGUCGAGCUUUAAGUCUUAACUUCAUACCUUACAACUCAGGCAAGAACUCCUUCUUUGACUGAUCCAUCUUGAACACCUUCAAGAUCAUGUCAAGGAAUGUGCUCAUUUGUAAGUACCAUUAAGUGUUUUGAUCUAUCCUUAUAGAUCUUGAUGCUCAAUGUUCAAACAGCUUAAUCCAGGCUUUCCAUUGAAAAAACACUUUCCAAAUAACCCUAUAUGCUUUCCAGAAAUUCUACGUCAUUUCUGAUCAACAAUAUGUCAACAACAUAUAUUCAUCAGAAAUUCUAUAGUGCUCCCACUCACUUCUUUGGAAAUACAAGUUUCUCAUAAACUUCGUAUUCACCCAAAAUCUUUGAUCAUCUCAUCAAAGCAUACAUUCCAACUCGAGAUGCUUACUCCAGUCCUUAGAAGGAUUGCUGGAGCUUUGCAUACUUAUUAGCAUAUUUCAGGAUUGACAAAACCUUCCGGUUGUAUCACAUACAACCUUUCCUCAAAAAUCGUCGAGGAAACAAUGUUUUGACAUCCUAUCUGCAAGAUUUCAUAAAUGAUGCAGUAAUUGCUAAUAUAAUUCCAACAGACUCUUAGCAUCGCUAUGAGUGAGAAAGUCUCAUCGUAGUCAACUCCUUGAACUUGUCGGAAAACAUCUUAAUGACAAGUCGAGCUUUCUUAAUGGUGAUACUUACCAUCAUUGUCCGUCUUCCUUUUAAAAUCCAUAUGUACCUAACAGCCUUACGACCAUCAAGUAGUUCUUCCAAAGUCUACACUUUGUUUUCACAUAUGGAUCCUCUCUCGGAUUAUAUGGCCUUGAGCCAUUUUGGAAUCCAUGCCCACCAUCGCUCCUCCAUAGCUCGUAGGUUCAUCGUUGUCUAGCAACAUGACUUCCAAGACAGGAUUACGUACCAUUCUGAAGCAGUACACAUCCUUGUCAUCCCACGAGGUUUGGUAGUGACUUGAUCUGAAGUUUCAUGAUCACUAUCAUAAGCUUCCACUUCAAUUGGUGUAGGUGCCACAGGAACAACUCCCUGUGCCCUGCCACACACUAGUUGAAGAGAUGGUUCAAUAACCUCAUCAAGUCUCCACCAUCCUCCCACUCAAUUCUUUCGAGAGAAACUUUUCCUCGAGAAAGGACCCGAUUCUAGUAACAAUCCCUUAUUGCUUUCGAAUCUGAGACAGGAGGUAUACCCAACCGUUUUGGGUGUCCUAUGAAGAUGUAUUUAUCCGCUUUGGGUUCGAGCUUAUCGGCCUGAAACUUUUUCACAUAAGCGUCGCAGCCCCAAACUUUUAAGAAAUGACAGCUUAGGUUUCUCUAAACCAUAGUUCAUACGGUGUCAUCUCAUCAGAAUUACGUGGUGCCCUAUUUAAAGUGAAUGUGGUUGUCUCUAAUGCCUAACCCAUAAACUAUUGUGGUAAUUCGAUAAGAGACAUCAUGGUAUGCAUCAUAUCCAAUAGGGUGCAGUUAUGAUGUUCGGACACACCAUCACACUAUGGUGUUCCAGGCUGUAUCAGUUGUGAAACAAUUUCCACAAUGUCUUAAUUCUGUGCCAAACUCGUAAUUCAGAUAUUCAUCUCUAUGAUCAUAUCAUAGAUAUUUUAUCCUCUUGUCACGAUGAUCUUUCAACUUCACCCUGAAAUUACUUGAACCUUUCAAUAAUUCAGACUCGUGAUUCAUCAAGUAAAUAUACUCAACAUCUACUCAAAUCAUCUAUGAAGUAAGAACAUAACGAUAUCCACUACAUGCCUCAGCACUCAUUGGACUGCACACAUCAAAAUGUAUUACUUCCAACAAGUUGCUUUCUAGUUCCAUUUUACUGAAACUGAGGCUUUCAGUCAUCUUGCCCAUGUGGUAUGAUUUGCAUGUCUCAAGUGAUUCAAAAUCAAGUGAGUCCAAAUGGUCCAUUUGCAUGGAGUUUCUUCAUGCAUAUACACCAAUAGACAUGGUUCGCAUGUCUCAAACUUUUCAAAAACGAGUGAUCCCAAAGAUCCAUCAACAUGGAGCUUCUUCAUGCGUUUUAUACCGAUAUGACUUACGUGGCAGUGCCACAAGUAGGUGGUACUAUCAUUACUAUCUUAUAUCUUUUGGCAUGAACAUGUGUAUCACUACGAUCGAGAUUCAAUAAACCAUUCAUUUUAGGUGCAAGACCAUUGAAGGUAUUAUUCAAAUGAACAGAGUAACCAUUAUUCUCCUUAAAUGAAUAGCCGUAUUGCGAUAGACAUAAUCCAAUCAUGUCUAUGCUCAACGCAAACAGCAAAUAACAAUUAUUUAGGUUUAACACCAAUCUCGAUGGUAGAGGGAGCGUGCGAUGCUUGAUCAUAUCAACAUUGGAAACACUUCCAACACAUAUCGUCAGCUCACCUUUAGCUAGUCUCCGUUUAUUCCGUAGCUUUUAUUUCAAGUUACAAACACUUAGCAACCGAACCGGUAUCUAAUACCCUGGUGCUACUAGGAGUACCAGUAAAGUACACAUUAACACAAUGUAUAUCCAAUAUACUUCUAUCGACCUUGCCAGCCUUCUCUUCUACCAAGUAUCUAGGGUAAUUCUGCUCCAGUGGCUGUUCCCCUUAUUACAGAAGCACUUAGUCUCGGGUUUGGGUUCAACCUUGGGUUUCUUCACUAGAGCAGCAGCUGAUUUGCCGUUUCAUGAAGUAUCCCUUCUUGCCCUUGCCCUUCUUGAAACUAGUGGUUUCACCAACCAUCAACAAUUGAUGCUCCUUCUUGAUUUCUACUUUUGUGGUGUCAAACAUCGCGAAUAUCUCAAGGAUCAUCAUAUAUGUCCCUGAUAUAUUAUAGUUCAUCACGAAGCUCUAGCAGCUUGGUGGUAAUGACUUCGGAGAAACAUCACUUUCUCAUCUGGAAGAUCAACUCCCACUCGAUUCAAAUGAUUGUUGUACUCAGACAAUCUGAGCACAAGCUCAACAAUUGAGCUUUUCUCCCUUAGUUUGCAGGCUAAGAAAAUCGUCAGAGGUCUUAUACCUCUUGACGUGGGCACGAGCCUGAAAUCCAAAUUUCAGCCCUCGAAACAUCUCAUAUGCUUCGCGGCGUUUCAAAACGUCUUCGGUGCCUCAACUCUAAACCGUUUAACUAAACUAUCACGUAGUUAUCAAAAUGUGUAUGUCAGAUGUUCGCAACAUCCACAGACAACGUUCGAGGUUCAGCACAUUGAGUGGUGCAUUAAGGACAUAAGCCUUCUAUGAAGCAAUGAGGACAAUCCUCAGUUUACGGACCUAGUCCGCAUAAUUGCUACUAUCAACUUUCAACUAAUUUUUUUCUCUCUAGGAACAUAUCUAAACAGUAGAACUAAAGUGCGAGCUAUGACAUAAUUUGCAAAAUCCUUUUGACUAUGUUGAGGAUAAACAAGUUGAUCUUAUGAACUUCCACUCAGAUAGAUAUCCCUCUAGUCAUCUAAGUGAUUACAUGAUCCGAGUCAACUAGGCCGUGUCCGAUCAUCACGUGAGACGGACUAGUCAUCAUCGGUGAACAUCUUCAUGUUGAUCGUAUCUACCAUACGACUCAUGCUCGACCUUUCGGUCUCUUGUGUUCCGAGGCCAUGUCUGUACAUGCUAGGCUCGUCAAGUCAACCUAAGUGUUUCGGGUGUGUAAAUCUGUCUUACACCCGUUGUAUGUGAACGUUAGAAUCUAUCACACCCGAUCAUCACGUGGUGCUUCGAAACGACGAACUUUCGCAACGGUGCACAGUUAGGGGGAACACUUUCUUGAAAUUUUAAUGAGGGAUCAUCUUAUUUACUACCGUCGUUCUAAGCAAAUAAGAUGUAUAAACAUGAUAAACAUCACUUGCAAUCAAAUAGUGACAUGAUAUGGCCAAUAUCAUAGUGCUCCUUUUGAUCUCCAUCUUCGGGGCUCCAUGAUCAUCAUCACCGGCAUGACACCAUGAUCUCCAUCAUCAUGAUCUCCAUCAUCGUGUCUUCAUGAUGUUGUCUCGCCAACUAUUACUUCUACUACUACAGCUAACGGUUAGCAAUAAAGUAAAGUAAUUACAUGGCGUUGUUUAAUGACAAGCAGGUCAUAUAAUAAAUUAAGAAACUCCUAUGGCUCCUGCCGGUUGUCAUACUCAUCGACAUGCAAGUCGUGAUUCCUAUUACAAGAACAUGAUCAAUCUCAUACAUCACAUAUCAUUCAUCACAUUCUUCUUGGCCAUAUCACAUCACAUAGCAUACCCUGCAAAAACAAGUUAGACGUCCUCUAAUUGUUGUUUGCAUGUUUUACAUGGCUGCUAUGGGUUUCUAGCAAGAACGUUUCUUACCUAGGCAAAACCACAACGUGAUAUGCCAAUUGCUAUUUACCCUUCAUAAGGACCCUUUUCAUCGAAUCCGAUCCGACUAAAGUGGGAGAGACAAACACCCGCCAGCCACCUUAUGCAACUAGUGCAUGUUUGUCGGUGGAACCGGUCUCACGUAAGCGUACGUGUAAGGUUGGUCUGGGCCGCUUCAUCCCACAAUGCCGCCGAAUCAAGAUUGGACUAGUAACGGUAAGCAUAUUGAACAAAAUCAACGCCCACAACUACUUUGUGUUCUACUCGUGCAUAGAAUCUACGCAAUAGACCUAGCUCAUGAUGCCACUGUUGGGUAACGUAGCAGAAAUUCAAAAUUUUCCUACGUGUCACCAAGAUCUAUCUAUGGAGAAACCAGCAACGAGGGGAAGGAGGGUGCAUCUACAUACCCUUGUAGAUCGCUAAGCGGAAGCGUUCAAGAGAACGGGGUUGAAGGAGUCGUACUCGUCGUGAUCCAAAUCACCGAUGAUCCUAGUGCCGAACGGACGGCACCUCCGCGUUCAACACACGUACAGCCCGGUGACGUAUCCCACGCCUUGAUCCAGCAAGGAGAGAGGGAGAGGUUGAGGAAGACUCCAUUCAGCAGCAGCACAACGGCGUGAUGGUGGUGGAGGAGCGUGGCAAUCCUGCAGGGCUUCGCCAAGCACCACGGGAGAGGAGGAAGGAGAGAUGCAGGGCUGCGUCAUAUAGAGGAGAGGAACUCGCGUCUUAUGAGCAGCCCAAACCUCAACUAUAUAUAGGGGAAGGGGAGGGGCUGCGCCCCCUUUAGGGUUUCCACCCCUAGGGGUGGCGGCCAGCCUAGAUCCCAUCUAAGGGAGGCAGCCAAGGGGGAGGGGGAGAGGGAGGCGCACCAGGAUGGGCCUUAGGGCCCAUCUGCCCUAGGGUUUGCCCCCUUCUCCUCUCCCUUGCGCCUUGGGCCCUUGUGGGGGGGGGGGGAGCACCAGCCCACCUGGGGCUGGUCCCCUUCCACACUUGGCCCAUGAAGCCCUCCGGGGCUGGUGGCCCCACUUGGUGGACCCCCGGGACCCUCCCGGUGGUCCCGGUACGUUACCGAUAAACCCCGAAACUUUUCCGGUGACCAAAAUAGGACUUCCCAUAUAUAAAUCUUUACCUCCGGACCAUUCCGGAACUCCUCGUGACGUCCGGGAUCUCACCCGGGACUCCGAACAACAUUCGGUAACCACAUACAAACUUCCUUUAUAACCCUAGAGUCAUCGAACCUUAAGUGUGUAGACCCUAUGGGUUCGGGAGACAUGCAGACAUGACCGAGACGUUCUCCGGUCAAUAACCAACAGCGGGAUCUGGAUACCCAUGUUGGCUCCCACAUGUUCCACGAUGAUCUCAUCGGAUGAACCACGAUGUCAAGGACUUAAUCUAUCCCGUAUACAAUUCCCUUUGUCUAUCGGUACGAUACUCGCCCGAGAUUCGAUCGUCGGUAUCCCGAUACCUUGUUCAAUCUCAUUACCGGCAAGUCUCUUUACUCGUUCCGUAACACAUCAUCCCGUGAUAAACUCCUUGAUCACAUUGUGCACAUUAUGAUGAUGUCCUACCGAGUGGGCCCAGAGAUACCUCUCCGUCACACGGAGUGACAAAUCCCAGUCUCGAUUCGUGCCAACCCAACAGACACUUUCGAAGAUACCCGUAGUGUACCUUUAUAGCCACCCAGUUACGUUGUGACGUUUGGCACACCCAAAGCACUCCUACGGUAACCGGGAGUUGCACAAUCUCAUGGUCUAAGGAAAUGAUACUUGACAUUAGAAAAGCUUUAGCAUACGAACUACACGAUCUAGUGCUAUGCUUAGGAUUGCGUCUUUUCCAUCACAUCAUUCUCCUAAUGAUGUGAUCCCGUUAUCAACGACAUCCAAUGUCCAUGGUCAGGAAACCGUAACCAUCUAUUGAUCAACGAGCUAGUCAACUAGAGGCUUACUAGGGACAUGGUGUUGUCUAUGUAUCCACACAUGUAUCUGAGUUUCCUAUCAAUACAAUUCUAGCAUGGAUAAUAAACGAUUAUCAUGAACAAGGAAAUAUAAUAAUAAUCAAUUUAUUAUUGCCUCUAGGGCAUAUUUCCAACAGUCAGAUUGUUCGGUGUUGGGCAGUGCGGUUGAGUCCGGGCUGUUAUUGCCGGGUUCCCCUUCCCAUACUACGGACGGCUUGAAUAGCCUUUCCAAGAAGAUGUUGGGAGGGACUGCAUCGCGUUUUGCGCCGAUGCGUGCCAGGACAUCCGCCGCCUGAUUAUUUUCCCGGGCUAUAUGGUGAAAUUCGAGCCCUUCGAACCGAGCUGACAUUUUUAAGACGACGUUGCGAUAAGCUGCCAUUUUUGGAUCCUUGGCAUCGAAGUCUCUGUUUAUUUGGGAUAUUGCAAGGUUCGAAUCCCCUCGCACUUCUAGGCGUUGAAUACCCAUGGAUACUGCCAUCUAGAGACCAUGUAAGAGGGCCUCGUAUUCGGCUGCAUUGUUGGAGUCUGUGUACAUAAUCUGGAGUACAUAUUGAACUAUGUCUCCUGUGGGGGACGUCAAAACGACGCCAGCCCCCAGACCGGCCAACAUUUUGGAGCCGUAGAAAUGCAUGAUCCAGUUUUAAUAUGUGCCGUACUCUUUAGGGAGUUCAGCCUCCGUCCAUUCUGUGACGAAGUCAGCCAAAACUUGCGACUUGAUAGCUCGCCGUGGCUUAUAAGUUAUGUCGAACGAGAGGAGCUCGAUGGCCCAUUUCGCAAUCCGGCCCGUUGCGUCGCGGUUGUUUAUAAUAUCGUUUAGUGGUACUUCUGAGGCUACUGUUAUUGAACACUCUUGAAAGUAGUGUCGCAGCUUCCGGGAUGCCAUGAAUACCGCGUACGCAAUCUUUUGAUAAUGCGGGUACCUUGAUUUGCACGGAGUGAGGACAGUGGCCACAUAAUAGACCGGCUUCUGAAGGGGGAAUUUGUGUCCGUCCGUUUCUCGUUCGACGACGAGCACUGCGCUCACAACCUGAUGGGUUGCUGCAAUGUAUAAUAGCAUUGGUUCGCCAAUGUUUGGCGCGGCCAGGACUGGGUUUGUUGCCAAUAUGGCUUUUAUUUUGUCGAGUCCGGCCGUGGCUGCGUCCGUCCACUCGAAGUGUUCGGUGCGCCGAAGGAGGCGGUAAAGGGGGAGUGCCUUUUCUCCCAAGCGGGAGAUAAAGCGGCUUAGAGCCGCCACGCAUCCGGUUUACUUUUGUAUUUGUUUGAGGUCCUUUGGGAUAUCCAAUUGUGACAGAGCUCGGAUCUUGGCUGGAUUUGCUUCAAUUCCUCUACCGAAUACAAUGAAGCCCAAGAGCUUACCGGCUGGAACGCCGAAAACGCAUUUUUCCGGGUUGAGCUUGAUGUCGUAUGUUCGAAGGUUAUCAAAUGUGAGCCUCAAGUCGUCUACUAGGGAUUCAACAUGUCUUGUUUUUACGACCACAUCAUCUACGUAUGCCUCCACUGUUUUGCCGAUCUGGUUUGCCAGACAUGUCUGAAUCAUGCGCUGAUAUGUUGUUUUGAGCCCGAAGGGCAUUGUGUUGAAGCAGAAUGGGCCGUAUGGUGUGAUGAAUGCCGUUGCGGCUUGGUCUGAUUCUGCCAUCUUGAUUUGAUGGUAGCCGGAAUAUGCGUCGAGCAAGCACAACAAAUCGUGUCCUACAGUAGCGUUGAUAAUUUGAUCGAUGCGAGGGAGGGGGAAGGGAUCCUUUGGGCAAGCCUUAUUAAGGUCUUUAAAAUCAACGCACAGGCGCUAGGAUUUGUCCUUCUUUGGUACCAUCACCAGGUUUGCUAGCCAGUUCGGAUGUUUUAUAUCUCUGAUGGAUCCGGCCUCUAAUAGCUUGGCUAGCUCCUCUCCCAUGGCCUGUCUCUUAGGUUCGGAAAAACGCCGAAGAGCCUGUUUGACAGGUUUGAAUCCUUUAGGAUAUUUAAGCUGUGUUCGGCCAGCCUGCGUGGGAUUCCUGGCAUGUCUGAAGGGUGCCAGGCGAAAAUGUCCCAGUUCUCACGUAGGAACUCUCGUAGUGCGGCGUCUACAUCAGGGUUUAAUUGUGCACCGAUGGAAGCUGUUUUAUUGGGGUCCGUUGGAUGGACCUGGAAUUUGACUAUUUCGUCCGCUGGUUUAAAUGAGGUGGACUUGGAUAUUUUGUCGAGUAUCACAUCAUCCCUGUUCACCGUGGAGCGCAGCGCAGUCAGCUCCUCAGCCGCUAGGGCUUCGGAUAGUGCCUCAAGGGCCAGUGCGACUGUCUUAUUUUAGGCGCGGAGUGCUAUGUCCAGAUCACUAGCGAGAGUGAUGAUUCCGUUCGGCCCGGGCAUCUUGAGUUUCAUGUACCCAUAAUGGGGUAUUGCUUGGAAGAUUGUGAACGCUUCCCGCCCUAGCAGAGCAUGGUAUCCGCUACUGAACGGGACCACUUGGAACGUGACCUCCUUGGACCUGUAAUUAUCCGGCGUGCCGAACACCACAUCUAGUGUGAUUUUUCCUGUACAGCACGCUUCCUGACUGGGGAUUAUUCCUCUAAAGGUUGUGCUGCUUCGCUCAAUGCGGUUCCAGUCUAUUUCCAUUUUUUGAAGGGUUUCCUCAUAAAUGAGGUUCAAUCCGCUGCCUCCAUCCAUGAGUACCUUGGUAAGGCGAAAGCCGUCCACUAUUGGACUGAGGACCAAUGUGGCUGGUGCUCGGGCUGUUCGGAAUUUAGGUUCAUCACUGGCAUUAAAAGUAAUAGCCGUGUCACUCCAUGGGUUUAUUGUUGCUACUUGGUAGACUUCGGCAAGGCUGCGGAGUGUUCUUUUUCGCAUAUUAUUUGAUGCGGAAGUCUCGAAGACUGUUAAUACCGUACCGGUAUCCCUGGGGUGGCUUUCUAUGGCCUCCGGAAUUAGGAGAUCUUUGCCAAUUUUGGCCACCUGCCGGAGUAUCCAACAUGCUCUAAGGCUGUGAGUUGGUGUGGCGCCCUCUGUACUGUGAAUUUUACAGGGUCGAUUAAGCCAUCCUUCCAAUACGCUUCCAUGCCCUGUAGAGGAUUUUUGCUUUUUGGUGUUUAACCCGGGUGUCUGGCGAAGAUGCACCCUUUUAUUUUGGACUGGGUUUGUAUUCAGGGCCGGAUUGUCCCAAAAUUUUAUUUUGGUUUUCCAGUCGCUAUCCAUCGCAUAGUACUUUCGUACUAUGGACGCCAAGUCAGCGAAGCAUGUAAUAUCACGGCGACUUAUGGCGUUGAGGAUUCCCUUGUCCGUGCAAUUAUUGCAGAAGAAUGAGAUUGCGUCUUCCUCGCGGCAGUCCUUGAUCCUGUUCAUAGCCAGGAGGAAUCUGGCCCAGUAAUGAUGUACUGUUUCUUCGGGCUUUUGCCUAAUUUGGGAUAGAUCGCUUAUGUUCGGGUGGGUGGGUGGAAUUAAAUCCGAAAACUGACCCGAUAUGAGACUCAGAGGCCAAGGAGUUUCCGAACUCGGAAGUUUGGAUUCUUGGAUGUUGUCCAAUGAGUCUAGCCCGUCGCCUGACUCUAAGUUCAGGUCUUGAGUGAUGUCCUCCCUUCCGCGGGUAUCCGGCUUGGAGGGAUCGGGAAUCCAGACGUAACUAGUCCUUAAGAUAGAUGAAGGGUCGCCGCACUGUCCCUCUACCAUAGCAAUGUGAUGGGUGACCUGGGGAGAGUUAAUCUCUCUUAGAUCGGGUUUAGGCCCAAUCUGGUCAUAAUCCGUGGCGACUCCCAGGGCGGCGAUGCGAUCCAAGAGCUCGUUUAUGGAAGAGAGCUCCAUUGGAUCUAACUGCUCGGCGAGUUCCGAGCUGACAUGAAUACUGCUUUUGAUGACCCGAGAGGUCAUCGUCGGCGCAGCAGCCGAACAGGCGGUCAUAAGAAAACCGCCUAGCCGGAGAGUUUGGCCGACAGCCAAAGCUCCCUUAGCAACGGUUCCGUCUUUAAAGACGGGAUGAGGCAUCCUUCCUGAUGGCGACGGCACAGAGGAACUCUCAAUGAAAGCACCAAUGUCGGUGUCAAAACCGGCGGAUCUCGGGUAGGGGGUCCCGAACUGUGCGUCUAGGCGGAUGGUAACAGGAGACAAGGGACACGAUGUUUACCCAGGUUCGGGCCCUCUCGAUGGAGGUAAAACCCUACUCCUGCUUGAUUAAUAUUGAUGAUAUGGGUAGUACAAGAGUAGAUCUACCACGAGAUCAAGGAGGCUAAACCCUAGAAGCUAGCCUAUGGUAUGAUUGUUGUUGUCCUACGGACUAAAACCCUUCGGUUUAUAUAGACACCAGAGAGGGUUAGGGUUACACAGAGUCGGUUACAAUGGUAGGAGAUCUACAUAUCCGUACCACCAAGCUUGCCUUCCACGCCAAGGAAAGUCCCUUCCGGACAUGGGACGAAGUCUUCAAUCUUGUAUCUUCAUAGUCCGGGAGUCCGGCUGAAGGUAUAGUCCGGCUAUCCAGACACCCCCUAAUCCAGGACUCCCUCACCCAGGUUUUCAGCCAAGAUUAUAACUAACCAUGUCGACAAUAACUCUUAAACAUUAUAUUAACUCUUAUGAGUAGAGGCCGCGGGAAAAAGCCUAGUAGUAGCGCGGAUAAAAGACUAGUAGUAGUGCGGGUGCCCGUGCUACUACUACGGCGCUACAGCUAACUCGUAGUAGUAGCGCAGGUGCCACCCGCGCUACUAGUACGUGUGUUAGUAAUAGCGCGGAUUCUACACACGCUACUAUUAACUAUCUGUAGCGCCUGUCUGUGACCCGCGCUACUACUAUUAAUUUCAAAAACCAAAAAAAAAAUCUCGACCCCGUGCAUGUUGUCAAUGGUGUCAUUGAUUCGAUCCAGCGACAACAAGGGUUGCCGGAGGUGUGGACGGGUAGUGGCAGACCAGAUCCGGCGAUGGCUGUUGGAGAUGGCCGGAUCCAGUGUAGAGCAAGACGACGGUGUGAGGAUCCUCUUCGCGGUCAAGGCGGAGAACUCCUGGUUGGCCAUGUCGACGACCUGUGCAGGCAUGGGCAUGGGAGGUGAGUAAAACCAAAGGGAGAGGGAGAGGAGAGGGAGAGGGAAAAAGAGAAACAAGGGAGAAAGGAGGGAGAUGGAGGGUGUAUCGGGGCUGCAUGGAGGCGAGGAGGAAGACGGGCGAGCUCUUGGAUGCCAGCGAUGCGAGGAGGAAGACGUUGGGUGCCAUGGAGGAGGAGAUAUUCUUGGGCAGGAGCACCAUGGAGAGAGGGGGAAAGUGAGGGAGAGAGGAGGAAAGUGAGAGAGGGGGAAAGUGAGGGAGAGAGGAGGGAUUCGGCCGAGGAUAUGGAGAUUUCACCUACCUCGUACUUAGUAGUAGCGAGGGGUAUAAAACCGCGCUACUACUAUCAACAUAGUAGUAGCAUGGGUUUGUACCCCUCGCUACUACUAUGGCAUGUCCCGGGAGGGCACGGUAGACACCGCUUAGUAGUAGCGAGGGUGAAAAACCCGCGCUAAUAGUAUCAACUUAGUAGUAGCGAGGGGUAAAAACCCGUGCUACUAGUAAGUAGCAGUAGCGACGGUUAUAAACCCGUGCUACUAGUAAGCGUCUGCCUAUAAGCUUUUCCCUAGUAGUGGCAUAUCUAUGACAUAAUCAACUAGCGAGCAAUAAUAAGAUAUCUCAAACAACAACACGUUGUGAAAACAACCAUGAUAUAAUAUGACAAUAGUGGUAUCUCGCUAGCCCUUUCUAAGACCGCAAAACAUAAAUGUAGAGCACCUCCAAAGUUCAAGCAGCGACCAAACAUUGUAAUUCAUGGUAGAAAAGAUCUAGUCAUGAUGCACCCAACAUUAGCAACACAUAGUGCAUCAGCAUGUCAACAGUGCUCUCUGGAUUUGGCACUUAUUUUAGAAGGUGAUGACACAACAUAAAAGUAAAUAGAUAGUCCCUUCGCAGAGGGAAGCAGUGAUUUGCAGCGGUGCCAGAGCUCAAAAUUUAAAAAUAGAGGUAAAUGAAAUUUUGGGAAAUUGAUACGUCUCCAACGUAUCUAUAAUUUUUUAUUGUUCCAUGCUAUAUUAUAUUAUGUUUUGGAUGUUUAAUGGGCUUAUUUAUACACUUUUAUAUUAUUUUUGGGACUAACCUAUUAACCGGAGGCCCAGCCCAUAUUGUUGUUUUUGUUCCUAUUUCAGUGUUUCGCAAAAAAAAGAAUAUCAAACGGAAUGAAACCUUCGGGAACAUGAUUUUUAAAACAAACGUGAUUCAGAGGACUUGGAGUCCAUGUCAAGCAGUCAAUGAGGAGGGCACGAGGCAGGGGGCGCUCCUACCUCCCCCUAGGCGCGCCCUCCACCCUCAUGGGGCCCACGUUGCUCCACCGACGUACUUCUUCCUCCUAUAAUACCUACGUACCCCCAAACCAUCAGGGGCAUCCACGAAAACCUAAUUCCACCGCCGCAACCUUCUGUACACGUGAGAUCCCAUCUUGGGGCCUUUUCCGGCGUCCUGCCGAAGGGGGCAUUGAUCACGGAGGGCUUCUACAUCAACACCAUAGCCACUCCGAUGAUGUGUGAGUAGUUUACCUCAGACUUUCGGGUCCAUAGUUAUUAGCUAGAUGGCUUCUUCUCUCUCUUUGGAUCUCAAUACAAAGUUCUCCACGAUUCUCGUGGAGAUCUAUUCGAUGUAAUCUUCUUUUGCGGUGUGUUUGUUGGGACCGAUGAAUUGUGGAUUUAUGAUCAAGUUUAUCUAUGAACAAUAUUUGAAUAUCCUCUGAAUUCUUUUAUGUAUGAUUGGUUAUCUUUGCAAGUCUCUUCGAAUUAUCAGUUUGGUUUGGCCUACUAGAUUGAUCUUUCUUGCAAUGGGAGAAGUGCCUAGCUUUGGGUUCAAUCUUAUGGUGUCGUUUCCCAGUGACAGCAGGGGCAGCAAGGCACGUAUUGUAUUGUUGCCAUCGAGGAUAACAAGAUGGGGUUUAUAUCAUAUUGCAUGAGUUUAUCUCUCUACAUCAUGUCAUCUUGCUUAAAGCGUUACUCUGUUCUUAUGAACUUAAUACUCUAGAUGCAUGCUGGGUAGCGAUCGAUGUGUGGAGUAAUAGUAGUAGAUGCAGGCAGGAGUCGGUCUACUUGUCACGGACAUGAUGCAUAUAUACAUGAUCAUACCUAGAUAUUCUCAUAACUAUGCUCAAUUCUAUCAAUUGCUCGACAGUAAUUUUUUCACCCACCGUAAUACUUAUGCUUUUGAGAGAAGCCACUAAUGAAACAUAUGGCCCCCGGGUCUAUUUUCCAUCAUAUUAAUCUUCCAACACAUAGCCUUUUCUAUUGCCCUUUUAUUUUACUUUGCAUCUCUAUUUCUCUUUAUCAUAGAAAUACUAAAAAUAUUAUCUUAUCAUAUCUAUCAGAUCUCACUCUCGUUAGUGACCGUGAAGGGAUUGACAACCCCUUUAUCGCGUUGGUUGCGAGGUUCUUAUUUGUUUUGUGUAGGUGCGUGGGACUUGAGCGUGGCCUCCUACUGGAUUGAUACCUUUGUUCUCAAAACUGAGGGAAAUACUUACACUACUUUGCUGCAUCACCUUUUCCUCUUCAAGGGAAAAACCAACGCAGUGCUCAAGAGGUAGCAAGAAAGAUUUCUGGCGCCGUUGCCGGGAGUUUACGCAAAAGUCAACAUACCAAGUACCCAUCACAAACUCUUAUCCCUUGCAUUACAUUAUUUGCCAUUUGCCUCUCGUUUUCCUCUCCCUCACUUCACCCUUGCCGUUUUGUUCGCCCUCUCUUCCGCUCACCUUUCCUUCGCCAUGUCGGAACCAAAAAGAGUUGGGGGUUCUCUCCCGAGUUUUAGUACUUUGGACGAUCCUUCUAUUCUAUCUAAACUCAUAAAUAAUGUCAUGGUAAAACCUGCCGGAGUUGUCAAUGAGAGUCUUAAUAAUUUUGAUGAAGAUGAUUCCGGAAUUUUUCGUUAUUUACUCGAUGAAUCUUUGAAAGAUGCUUGGGAUAGACUGUUAAGGAUCCGGGCUAACUAUGUGCCCCAAUACCAAAUUGAAGUUUACUUGAAGAGCUUUUAUGUUGCCCUACCUUCUUCGUUUAAGCAUGUCUUAGAUUCUAUAUUUGAAGAAGACUUUCUUGAAGGGGAUGCCGUAGAUACUUAUGAAAAGAUGAAAACCAUAUUUGGGCACCCCAUGAAUGAGAAAAUUAAAUCUACAUCUCUUUUGCUCUCCAGUCCUUGGUUCAUGUAAAUCUGAAUCUAGCCGGCACUACCCCUUCACAAGCUGUUGCAUAGUCUUCAGCGAGGUGCGGCGCAACUUCCGUGUGAGGGGAAAUGAACUUCUCCACGAAUACCUUCUCUCUCACCUUGAAAGCGGUAUAGUAGUAGCCUGGGUUGCACUUGAGCAAUCCAUUUUCCAUGAGAAACUUUACAACGUAGUACCUGGGUUUCAUCCAGCCCUCCAGCUGUAAUUGAUAAUUACUGACCGUUGAGCAAUGUAGGUAGGUUCCAACCCCACCUCAGAGAUGAGGAAAUCAGACCUGCGCUGCAGUAAUUCCUUUGACUUCCUCAGCAGACACGGAGCGUUACGCACAACAAUGCUCACCUCAGCGUCUGACCACCUGAACAUCUUCUUCAAGUAGGCCACAUUGGCGGCGAUCUUCUCCUCGCUGAGGAAUCUGACAGCAUCCAACGUGUGUCUGAACAUCCUGAGCCACGAGGCAUGCCAAGGCCUUCGGCGCAUGCCACCAUCGCCCUGACGCGUUCUGGCUUGUUGCUCAGGACACCCCGCGCGCGGAGGGACAAUUUGGUGAUAUCGCAAUCAUCUAGCCCGCAUUGCCGUAGGAGCGCGACGUUGGGUUUGACCAUCCCGUCGAUGUCAGCGCCGGCGAGGUAGCCUUGCUUGAGCACCCGGAAGAGGUUCUCCGAGGAGCUGAAUAGGAGCAGGUAGUACCGCAACUUGGAAACAAUGGACCUGGAACAGAAGUGGGCGAAGGAGAGCGCGACGAGGCGCACGAUCUCAGUACGCGAGAGGCCGAGGCCGGUGAGCCCACGACGACGGGGGCUAGAGUUUUCUCUACUUUGGCGCAGAGGAACAACGGGUCUUUGGCGACGAGGGCGGCGACGUCGGUGCCGGAGAGGCCGAGGCCGGCGAGGAAGGAAAGGACGGCGUCGGGCUUGGACGGAGACUUGAGGUGGGAGAGCUUGGCGGAGGCCUUGAGUGCCUGGGGUCGGGUGAGGCCGCAGGUGGAGACGAGGUAGUCGUCGACGACGAAGCUAGGGUUUGGGGAAACGCCGGGCGCGGCGGCCGCGGAGAGGGGGCGGUGGAGAGGGGGGCCUGAGAGGUGGCGGGGGAAGAGAGGAGCCGCACGAGGAUGCAGCCACGGAGGCGGAGCAUGGCGGCGGUGGCGGCGGAGAGAUUGAUUCCCUAUGGAGGCGGGUGCGAAUGGGAUGGUGCUUCGGAGGCGGGGAUGCGGCGCCCUGGCGAGGCAGGUGAGGAACGGAGGAAGAGAACAGGAGGAGAGAUCGAAGAGGAUGGCACUUCGGCGGCGCCGCCGAAGAGAUUUUCCGGUCCGCUGUGAGUGGAGAGGAAAAAUGGGAAAUGGCAGGUGCGAUGCGAAUGGAGGCUCCGCAAAUUGCAAUAUCACUGAAUCCCAGGGGUCUUUACGUCUUUCAAAAAUACAAACUACAUUUAAAAAACAUACAUAAUACAUUGAGCCUCAUGGAAACUUUCAUAUACACAUGGAAAAUAGAUAUCCCCUCCGUUCAAUAACGUAGUGCGUAUAGAUUUUCGAAAGUCAGACUUUGCAAAAUAUGAUCAAAUUUAUAAAGAAAACUACUUAUACCUACAUUAUCAAAUAUAUAAAAUAUGAACCUACGUCUUGUCUUAUGAUGAACCUAAUGAUAUAUGUUUGACAUCUAGAUGUAAAUGUUUUUCUUCACAAACUUGGUCAAAUUUUGUUAGGUUUGACUUUUCAAAAAAUCUGUAUGCAAUCAUUAUGCAAUCGGUAUAAUAAGGAAAAUGGCUUUGAGAGAUAAGAUUAUAUCACAAAAUAAGUUAUUAUACGACUUGUACUUAUCUUGUGAUUUUUUUGUAGGUAUAGUACUUCCUCCAUUUUUAUUUACUCUGCAUAUUAGAGUUGACUGAAGUCGAACUUCGUAAAGUUUGACCAAGUUUAUAAAAAAUAUAUAAAUAUUUACCCUAACAAAUCUAUAUGAUACGAAAGUACGUUCAAUAAUGAAUAUAAUGGUAUUGAUUUGUUAUUGUACAAGUUAAUAUUUUUGACUAUAAACUUUGUCAAAAUUUAUAAAGCUUGACUUUGACUAAAACUAAUAUGGAGAGUAAAUAAAAACGAAGGGAGUAAAUGGCUAUGCUUUUUUUAUAGGUAGUAAAUGGUUACUUUUUUCCGAUUUUUUUAAAUGGUUAUGCUUGCUAAUCAAUCCAAUCCAAAUUAUAUGUCGCUCAAACAGAUGUAUCUAAUUAAUAUGGAUUGGAUGGAGCAGAAAAGUUCAUACGGAUAUAUAUUUUCUCAAAACUUGAAAGUAUGAUUUCUACAAGUAAAAAAAAUCAUAUGUGAACUAUGUUUGUUUUUAGCAUUUUGUGUGUGUUCAUGUUUUUCUCUCUCUCUCUCUCUCUCUCUCUUCAUUCUAGCCUCUUUUCCCCCACCUCACUCUGUUCUCACAUUGACAUUGUUGCCUUUUUCAACGGACUCCUACUUAUCUUUUCUAAAUUUUGCAAGGUGAGAAUUGAGAAGGUUAUUAUUCUUUAGUUUUAUGUGUAUAGCUAUAUUAGAGUUGAGAUCAAUUGCAUCGUGUCCACAAAUCCUCUAUAACACUAAGCUCCCUAGUUUUAAAAAGCCCACACUCAAUUAAGGUCUCUAAUUAGAAUUGGAUCAUCCAAUUUUGAUCGGGUCUACAAUUUCUCAAAGCUUCACAAUCCAAUUCUUUUAUACUAUACAAUAUGCUUCCUAAUUUUUAAGGCCUCAUAAUUAUUAAGGUAUUUAAUAUAGGUUGAUCAUCCAAUUUUGACUGGGUCAACAAUUUCUCAACCUCUUCAAUUGAAUUUUUUUAAUUCACUAUGUUCCAAAAUUUUGAAUCUCUUUCAUUCAAUUGAGGUAUUCAAUUUUGAUUUGGUUGACGAUUUUGACUGGGCCAAUGAUUUUCAAAUCAAUCAGCUGCAACUGACCUAUAAAAACAUAUCAAUCCCAUGCACCCCUCCCACCACAUAGAAAAAAGAAGCGUCACCAUAUGAUAUUGUAGUAUCAAUAUAGUACAUGCAACCACCGAUGCAGAAAUUUUCCCACAUAAAUAUAGGUUGGUUAGCGGAUGACACAGUCAUCUCCCCACCCGCCUAACUUAAUAUUCCAUCAGUUACUCCCUCCGUUCCACAAUGUAGCGCAUAUAAAUUUUUCUAGAAGUCAAACUUUAUAAACUUUGACCAAGUUUGUAGAGAAAAUCAUAUACAUCUAGAAUACCAAAUACGUGUGCUUAGAUACAUCACAACACAUACUUUCAUAUUAUAUACAUUUGGUAUUGUAGAUAUAAAUAGUUUUCUCUAUAAAAUUGGUCAAAGUUUAUAAAGUUUGACUUUGUAGAAAAUCUAUAUGCGCUACAUUAUGGAACGGAGGGAGUAUAAAAUAUGAAGGGUAUUAAUUUUGUAGAAAGUCAAACUUCUUUAACUUUGACCAACUUCAGAGCAAAAAUAUCAACAUCCACAAUAUUAAACAAAAAAAGUAUGGAAAUUCAUUUCGUGAUGAAUCUAAAAAUACUGAUUUAAUCUUAUGAAUUUUGAUAUAUUUCUCUACAAAUUUGAUGAAACUUAAAAGGUUUGAUUUUAAAAAAUAUAAUACACAUUAUAUUGGGAAACAGAGUGAUUAGUUUUUUAAGAUAUCCAACAACAUGAACGGCGCAGCAAAGCGCGCACAACCCUUCUAGUUAGUAGUAUAUCUAAGAACAAUUGGCAUCCCAUUGAUGAUCGAUCAACCUUCUUAGUCCAGCUAGUGGCUGGUCGUCUAGAGAUCUAUAUGGAGUCAGUUGAGAUGCGAUGGUCAGCCAAGUGGGUUGAUCAAUGCUCCUCUUAAAAUUCGAAGCCUAAAGUAGAUGUGCUACUCGAGAAAUAAAAAGACCAACGUAGACCGUACUAACAUCUAAUAUUUGACGUCACAUUUGAAUUUGAUACUAUUCACAUCCAUAAUUGUCCCUUUGCUCAUCGAAUUAUGAAUCUUAUAUAAAUGUUGUAAAUGAUCAAUUUUAUAAUAAUUUUAGGGUUGUAGUUCGGUGCAUAGGUAGCUCAGAGGAACCAUAGCCGUCACUUCCUCUCCAAAAAAGCUUAGGGUUCCUAUGCGGCCAUGCCUCCCGUGGCGCCGCUGCCGGUCCACCUCGUCUCCGGUGGCCCUAGGGCCAUGGGGACACGGUGGAUCUCAUCCCUUACCAGCGGGAGGGCUUCGUUUUUAAAUAUUUCUUUGAAUUUUGUUAGGGUUGUGUCCUGCUAAAGAGGAUAAGACAACGACGGCUUCGUGAAGAUUGAAUAAGGUUCUUCCCGCCUAGCCCCCGUCUCGAUGGCGCAUCUAACAUCGUCGGAGAGUGUGUGGAGGUGUGUCUCCGGCGGAUCUCACAGGAUUCGGUAGGUGGUUUGUCUUUGGUGGAUCUACUCGGACCCGGUCUUCGUUCGUCUACAUUUGUCUGUCAUUAGAUUGGAUCCUUCCGAUCUAUGGGUCUCAUCAUCGGCGGGGGUUACUAUUCUAUUGCGCUGGUCCUACGAGGCCUUAGCACGACAAGUUCCCGGCUGUCUACUACAAUAAGUUCUGCCCGGCUCCGGCGAGGGAAGGGCGAUGACAACGGCGCGUCUUCGGCUCGCUUUAAUGCUUGUAGUCUUUGCUAGAUGGUCUACGGAUGGAUGCGAUUUUUAUUAUUCCUAUUGUUCAUUGUAUUGUCAUGAUUGAAAAUAAAAAGAUCGAAAGAUUUCUCACAGAUAAGAAGCUCAGAAGAACCAUUAAAAGGACAAUCGUGUGGUCUCCCUAGAUGGUCCUUGGAGGGAGCGAUGUAAUUUCAUUUCCUUUUUAUUGCAUUCUCAUGAAUCUACGGGAUACACAGAUUUGGAAUAGCCAUGCGUUAUAUAGGUUUGGAAAAGAUGAAUGGGCAGGACAAAGCCCAUCAAGGUCCAGAGUUGAACAUGGUAUUUUUCUCUUCCCUGAUCUUGUGUGGUUGUUACAUUACAACGAGGACUAGAUGCAUUCAUUAACCUGAGGAGACUAUAUACGGUGAUUAUAUCGUGGUUAUCAUAUUUACCUAUUUUACAAAGAAUGAUCGGAUAUAAUUUACUGGUACAAUCCAUUGUGUGCCUUUCACGCUUCCGUCAGUUUAGUUUCCUCACACUUUAAGUAGUCUUGUGAAGUUGUGAUCAGGUAGCUCGCAAUCCAAAUUUCUGUAAUGAAUAUUUUUUUUUGGUCCAACGAGUAAAACGUAGACUUGGUGACCCUCAAAAGGGAUGAUAUUUUACAUAACGAGUAAAUCAUGAUGUCCUUAGAUAUUUCUUAUGAGUAUUUCUUCUUUUCUGCGGAAAAGUUUCUUGUCUUCCGAACUCUUGGAUGUGGGCAGAACUCUUGAUGAGCCGAGGCACCCGCAGCAUGCCAUUGUGAGUCAAGUUUGCCAUUGUUUGAUGGGAAGUUUUCAAGUGCUACAUGUAGAAGGACGCUAUAGUGGCUGCAAUCUUGCUGCUAAGUGACACGUACUGUCACCCUGUUUCUAAUGAAAAAAACUGAAGAACAAUGACUCAUUUAAACAUUGUUCAAUUUUGUGGUUCAUGAUGUUGGAAAUAUGCCCUAGAGGCAAUAAUAAAAGUAUUAUUAUAUUUCAAUGUUCAUGAUAAAUGUCUUUUAUUCAUGCUAUAACUGUAUUAUCCGGAAAUCGUAAUACACGUGUGAAUACUUAGACCACAAUAUGUCCCUGGUGAGCCUCUAGUUGACUAGCUCGUUGUGAUCAACAGAUAGUCAUGGUUUCUUGACUAUGGACAUUGGAUGUCGUUGAUAACGGGAUCACAUCAUUAGGAGAAUGAUGUGAUGGACAAGACCCAAUCCUAAGCAUAGCAUAAAAGAUCGUGUAGUUCGUUUUGCUAGAGCUUUGCCAAUGUCAAGUAUCUCUUCCUUCGACCAUGAGAUCGUGUAACUCCCGGAUACCGUAAGAGUGCCUUGGGUGUAUCAAACGUCACAACGUAACUGGGUGACUAUAAAGGUGCAUUACAGGUAUCUCCGAAAGUAUCUGUUGGGUUGACACGGAUCGAGACUGGGAUUUGUCACUCCGUAUGACGGAGAGGUAUCUCUGGGCCCACUCGGUAAUGCAUCAUCAUAAUGAGCUCAAUGUGACCAAGGUGUUGGACACGGGAUCAUGCAUUACGGUACGAGUAAAGUGACUUGCCGGUAACGAGACUGAACAAGGUAUUGGGAUACCGACGAUCGAGUCUCGGGCAAGUAACGUACUGAUUGACAAAGGGAAUUGUAUACAGGGUUUGAUUGAAUCCUUGACAUCGUGGUUCAUCCGAUGACAACAUCGAGGAGCAUGUGGGAGCCAUCAUGGGUAUCCAGAUCCCGCUGUUGGUUAUUGACCUGAGAGCAUCUCGGUCAUGUCUGCAUGUCUCCCGAACCCGUAGGGUCUACACACUUAAGGUUCGGUGACGCUAGGGUUAUUAGGAAGACUAGUAUGUGACUACCGAAUAUUGUUCGGAGUUCCGGAUGGGAUCCUGGACGUCACGAGGAGCUCCGGAAGGGUCCGAAGGUAAAGAUUUAUAUAUGGGAAGUUGUCAAACGGGCACCGGGAAGUUUCGGGGUCAUACCGGUAUUGUACCGGGGCCACCGGAAGGGUUCCGGGGGUCCACCGGGAGGGGCCACCCCUCCCGGGGGGGCACAUGGGCUGCGUGGGGCAGGGAGCCAGCCCCUGGUGGGCUGGGCGCACCCCCUCCCUUGGGCCCUUGCGCCUAGGGUUGAGGGGGGAACCCUAGAGGGGGCGCCCCCUUGGCUUGGGGGGCAAGCCACCCUCUCCCCCUCUCCCCUUGGCCGCCGCACCCCCCUAGAUGGGUUCUAGGGGGCCGGCCCCCUUCUCCCUUCCCCCAACAAAUAGAGGGGUGAGGGGAGGGCAGCCGCACCACCCUCCAAGGCGCAGCCCUCCCCUCCCCAACACCUCUCCUCCUCUGUUGUGUGCUUGGCGAAGCCCUGUCGGAGUACUGCCUCUCCACCAUCACCACGCCGUCGUGCUGCCGGUGGAGCUGUCUUCCUCAACCUCUCCUCCCCCCUUGCUGGAUCAAGAAGGAGGAGACGUCUCCCGUCCCGUACGUGUGUUGAACGCGGAGGUGCUGUCCGUUCAGCACUUGGUCAUCGGUGAUUCGAAUCACGUCGAGUACGAUUCCAUCAUCACCUUGCAAGCUUCCGCACGCGAUCUACAAGUGGUAUGUAGAUGCAAACUCACUCCCUUGACUCGUUGCUUAGAUGAACUCAUAGAUGGAUCUUGGUGAAACCGUAGGAAAAAUUUUAAUUUUCUGCAACGUUCCCCAACAGUGGCAUCAUGAGCCAGGUUUAUGCGUAGUUCUCUUUGCACGAGUAGAACACAAUUUUGUUGUGGGCGUGGAUUUUGUCAUCUUACUUGCCUCUACUAGUCUUUUCUUGCUCAACGGUAUUGUGGGAUGAAGCGGCCCGGACCAACCUUACACGUACGCUUACGUGAGACCGGUUCCACCGAGUGACAUGCACUAGUUGCAUAAGGUGGCUGGCGGGUGUCUGUCUCUCCCACUUUAGUUGGAGCGGAAUCGAUGAACAGGGCCCUUAUGAAGGGUAAAUAGAAGUUGACAAAAUCACGUUGUGGUGAUUCGUAGGUAAGAAAAUGUUCUUGCUAGAACCCAAUUGCAGCCACGUAAAAGAUGCAACAACAAUUAGAGGAUGUCUAACUUGUUUUUGCAGCGAUUGAUCAUGUGAUGUGAUAUGGCCAGAAGUUGUGAUGAAUGAUGAAUUGUGAUGUAUGAGAUCAUGUUCUUUGUAAUAGGAUUCACGACUUGCAUGUCGAUGAGUAUGACAACCGGCAGGAGCCAUAGGAGUUGUCUUUAUUUUUUGUAUGACCUGCAUGUCAUUGAAUAACGCCAUGUAAACUACUUUACUUUAUUGCUAAACGUUAGUCAUAGAAGUAGAAGUAGUCGUUGGCGUGACAACUUCAUGAAGACACGAUGAUGGAGAUCAUGAUGAUGGAGAUCAUGGUGUCAAGCCGGUGACAAGAUGAUCAUGGAGCCCCGAAGAUGAAGAUCAAUGGAGCUAUAUGAUAUUGGCCAUAUCAUGUCACAACUAUAUAAUUGCAUGUGAUGUUUAUUAUGUAUUAUGCAUCUUGUUUACUUAGGACGACGGUAGUAAAUAAGAUGAUCCCUUAUAAAAUUUCAAGAAGUGUUCUCCCCUAACUGUGCACCGUUGCUACAGUUCGUCGCUUCUAAGCAACACGUGAUGAUCGGGUGUGAUGGAUUCUUACGUUCACAUACAACGGGUGUAAGACAGUUUUACACAGCGAAAACACUUAGGGUUAACUUGACGAGCCUAGCAUGUGCAGACAUGGCCUCGGAACACGGAGACCGAAAGGUCGAACACGAAUCGUAUGGAAGAUACGAUCAACAUGAGAAUGUUCACCGACGAUGACUAGUCCGUCUCACGUGAUGAUCGGACACGGGCUAGUCGACUCGGAUCGUGUAACACUUAGAUGACUAGAGGGAUGUCUAAUCUAAGUGGGAGUUCAUAAUUUGAUUAGAACUUUAUUAUCAUGAACUUAGUCUAAAACCUUUGCAAAUAUGUCUUGUAGAUCAAUGGCCAACGCUAAUGUCAACAUGAACUUCAACGCGUUCCUAGAGAAAACCAAGCUGAAAGAUGAUGGCAGCAACUAUACGGACUGGGUCCGGAACCUGAGGAUCAUCCUCAUAGCUGCCAGGAAACAAUAUGUCCUAGAAGGACCGCUAGGUGACGCUCCCGUCGCAGAGAACCAAGACAUUAUGAAUGCUUGGCAGUCUCGUGCUGAUGAUUACUCCCUCGUUCAGUGCGGCAUGCUUUACAGCUUAGAACCGGGGCUCCAAAAGCGUUUUGAGCAUCACGGAGCAUAUGAGAUGUUCGAAGAGCUGAAACUAGUUUUCCAAGCUCAUGCCCGGGUCGAGAGAUAUGAUGUCUCCGACAAGUUCUACAGUUGUAAGAUGGAGGAAAAUAGUUCUGUCAGUGAGCACAUCCUGAAGAUGUCUGGGUUGCACAACCGUAUGACCCAGCUGAACAUUAACCUCCCAGAUGAGGCGGUCAUUGACAGAAUCCUCCAGUCGCUCCCACCAAGCUACAAGAGCUUUGUGAUGAACUACAACAUGCAGGGGAUGGAAAAGACCAUUCCUGAAGUGUUCUCGAUGCUGAAGUCAGCAGAGGCUGAAAUCAAGAAAGAACAUCAAGUGUUGAUGGUCAAUAAGACCACUAAGUUCAAGAAGGGCAAGGGUAAGAAGAACUUCAAGAAGGACGGCAAGGAGGUUGCCGCGCCUGGUAAGCCAGUUACCGGGAAGAAGUCAAAGAAUGGACCUAAGCCUGAGACUGAGUGUUUUUAUUGCAAGGGGAAGGGUCACUGGAAGCGGAACUGCCCCAAAUACUUAGCGGAUAAGAAGGCCGGCAACACCAAAGGUAUAUUUGAUAUACAUGUGAUUGAUGUGUACCUUACUAGUACUCGUAGUAACUCCUGGGUAUUUGAUACCAGUGCCGUUGCUCAUAUUUGUAACUCACAGCAGGAGCUGCGGAAUAAACGGAGACUGGCGAAGGACGAGGUGACGAUGCGCGUCGGGAAUGGUUCCAGAGUCGAUGUGAUCGCCGUCGGCACGCUGCCUCUACAUUUACCUACGGGAUUAGUUUUGAACCUGAAUAAUUGUUAUUUAGUGCCAAGUUUGAGCAUGAACAUUGUAUCUGGAUCUCGUUUAAUACGAGAUGGCUACUCAUUUAAGUCUGAGAAUAAUGGUUGUUCGAUUUAUAUGAGAGAUAUGUUUUAUGGUCAUGCUCCGAUGGUCAAUGGUUUAUUCUUAAUGAAUCUCGAGCGUAAUAUUACACAUGUUCAUAGUGUAGAUGCCAAAAGAUUUAAAGUUGAUAACGAUAGUCCCACAUACUUGUGGCACUGCCGCCUUAGUCACAUUGGUGUCAAGCGCAUGAAGAAGCUCCAUGCCGAUGGACUUUUAGAGUCUCUUGAUUAUGAAUCGUUUGACACGUGCGAACCAUGCCUCUUGGGCAAAAUGACCAAGACUCCGUUCUCCGGAACAAUGGAGCGAGCAACCAACUUGUUGGAAAUCAUACAUACCGAUGUGUGCGGUCCAAUGAGCGUUGAGGCUCGCGGAGGAUAUCGUUAUGUUCUCACUCUCACUGAUGACUUGAGUAGAUAUGGGUAUGUCUACUUAAUGAAACACAAGUCUGAGACCUUUGAAAAGUUCAAAGAAUUUCAGAAUGAGGUAGAGAAUCAACGUGACCGAAAGAUAAAAUUCUUACGAUCAGAUCGUGGAGGAGAAUACUUAAGUCACGAAUUUGGUACACACUUAAGGAAAUGUGGAAUCGUUUCACAACUCACGCCGCCUGGAACACCUCAGCGAAACGGUGUGUCCGAACGUCGUAAUCGCACUCUAUUGGAUAUGGUGCGGUCUAUGAUGUCUCUUACCGAUUUACCGCUAUCAUUUUGGGGAUACGCUCUAGAGACAGCUACAUUCACUUUAAAUAGGGCACCGUCUAAAUCCGUUGAGACGACACCGUAUGAAUUAUGGUUUGGAAAGAAACCUAAGAUGUCGUUUCUAAAAUUUUGGGGAUGCGAUGCUUAUGUCAAGAAACUUCAACCUGAAAAGCUCGAACCCAAGUCGGAAAAAUGCGUAUUCAUAGGAUACCCUAAGGAAACUGUCGGGUAUACCUUCUACUUAAGAUCCGAAGGCAAGAUCUUUGUUGCCAAGAACGGAUGCUUUCUGGAAAAAGAGUUUCUCUCGAAAGAAGUAAGUGGGAGGAAAGUAGAACUCGAUGAAGUACUACCUCUUGAGCGGGAAAGUGGCGCAGCGCAGGAAACCGUUUCUGUGAUGCCCACACCAACUGAAGAGGAAAACAAUGAUGAUGAUCAAGGUACUUCGGAUCAAGUUACUAUUGAACUUCGUAGGUCCACAAGGACACGUUCCGCACCAGAGUGGUACGGCAACCCUGUCCUGGAAAUCAUGUUGUUGGACAACAAUGAACCUUCGAACUAUGAAGAAGCGAUGGCGGGCCCGGAUUCCAACAAAUGGCUUGAAGCCAUGAAAUCCGAGAUAGAAUCCAUGUAUGAAAACAAAGUAUGGACUUUGACAGACUUGCCCGAUGAUCGGCGAGCGAUAGAAAACAAAUGGAUUUUUAAGAAGAAGACGGACGCGGAUGGUAAUGUUACAAUCUAUAAGGCUCGACUUGUCGCUAAGGGUUAUCGACAAGUUCAAGGGAUUGACUACGACGAGACUUUCUCUCCUGUAGCGAAGCUGAAGUCCGUUCGAAUCAUGCUAGCAAUUGCCGCAUACUAUGAUUAUGAGAUAUGGCAGAUGGACGUCAAAACAGCAUUCCUUAACGGGCAUCUUAAGGAAGAACUGUAUAUGAUGCAGCCGGAAGGUUUUGUCGAUCCUCGGAACGCUAACAAAGUAUGCAAGCUCCAGCGAUCCAUUUAUGGACUGGUGCAAGCAUCUCGGAGUUGGAACAUUCGCUUUGAUGAGAUGAUCAAAGCGUUUGGGUUUAUGCAGACUUAUGGAGAAGCCUGCGUUUACAAGAAAGUGAGUGGGAGCUCUGUAGCAUUUCUCAUAUUAUAUGUAGAUGACAUACUCUUGAUGGGAAACAAUAUAGAAUUUCUGGACAGCAUUAAGGCCUACUUGAAUAAGUGUUUUUCAAUGAAGGACCUUGGAGAAGCUGCUUAUAUAUUAGGCAUCAAGAUCUAUAGAGAUAGAUCGAGACGCCUCAUAGGUCUUUCACAAAGCACAUACCUUGAUAAGAUUUUGAAGAGGUUCAAAAUGGAUCAGUCCAAGAAGGGGUUCUUGCCUAUGUUACAAGGUGUGAGAUUGAGCUCGGCUCAGUCACCGACCACGGCAAAAGAUAAAGAAGAGAUGAGUGUCAUCCCCUAUGCUUCAGCCAUAGGAUCUAUUAUGUAUGCCAUGCUGUGUACCAGACCCGAUGUAAACCUUGCCGUAAGUUUGGUAGCAAGAUACCAAAGUAAUCCCGGCAAGGAACACUGGACAGCGGUCAAGAAUAUCCUGAAGUACCUGAAAAGGACGAAGGACAUGUUUCUCGUUUAUGGAGGAGACGAAGAGCUCGUCGUAAAGGGUUACGUCGACGCUAGCUUCGACUCAGAUCUGGAUGACUCUAAGUCACAAACCGGAUACGUGUAUAUGUUGAAUGGUGGAGCAGUAAGCUGGUGCAGCUGCAAGCUGAGCGUCGUGGCGGGAUCUACGUGUGAAGCGGAGUACAUGGCAGCCUCGGAGGCAGCGCAUGAAGCGAUUUGGGUGAAGGAGUUCAUCACCGACCUAGGAGUCAUACCCAAUGCGUCGGGGCCGAUCAAACUCUUCUGUGACAACACUGGAGCUAUUGCCCUCGCCAAGGAGCCCAGGUUUCACAAGAAGACCAGGCACAUCAAGCGUCGUUUCAACUCCAUCCGUGAAAAUGUUCAAGAUGGAGACAUAGAGAUUUGCAAAGUGCACACGGAUCUGAAUGUCGCAGAUCCGCUGACUAAACCUCUCUCGCGUGCAAAACAUGAUCAACACCAGAACUCUAUGGGUGUUCGAUUCAUCACAAUGUAACUAGAUUGGUGACUCUAGUGCAAGUGGGAGACUGUUGGAAAUAUGCCCUAGAGGCAAUAAUAAAAGUAUUAUUAUAUUUCAAUGUUCAUGAUAAAUGUCUUUUAUUCAUGCUAUAACUGUAUUAUCCGGAAAUCGUAAUACACGUGUGAAUACUUAGACCACAAUAUGUCCCUGGUGAGCCUCUAGUUGACUAGCUCGUUGUGAUCAACAGAUAGUCAUGGUUUCCUGACUAUGGACAUUGGAUGUCGUUGAUAACGGGAUCACAUCAUUAGGAGAAUGAUGUGAUGGACAAGACCCAAUCCUAAGCAUAGCAUAAAAGAUCGUGUAGUUCGUUUUGCUAGAGCUUUGCCAAUGUCAAGUAUCUCUUCCUUCGACCAUGAGAUCGUGUAACUCCCGGAUACCGUAAGAGUGCCUUGGGUGUAUCAAACGUCACAACAUAACUGGGUGACUAUAAAGGUGCUUACAGGUAUCUUCGAAAGUAUCUGUUGGGUUGACACGGAUCGAGACUGGGAUUUGUCACUCCGUAUGACGGAGAGGUAUCUCUGGGCCCACUCGGUAAUGCAUCAUCAUAAUGAGCUCAAUGUGACCAAGGUGUUGGACACGGGAUCAUGCAUUACGGUACGAGUAAAGUGACUUGCCGGUAAUGAGACUGAACAAGGUAUUGGGAUACCGACGAUCGAGUCUCGGGCAAGUAACGUACCGAUUGACAAAGGGAAUUGUAUACAGGGUUUGAUCGAAUCCUUGACAUCGUGGUUCAUCCGAUGACAACAUCGAGGAGCAUGUGGGAGCCAUCAUGGGUAUCCAGAUCCCGCUGUUGGUUAUUGACCUGAGAGCGUCUCGGUCAUGUCUGCAUGUCUCCCGAACCCGUAGGGUCUACACACUUAAGGUUCGGUGACGCUAGGGUUAUUAGGAAGACUAGUAUGUGACUACCGAAUGUUGUUCGGAGUCCCGGAUGGGAUCCUGGACGUCACGAGGAGCUCCGGAAGGGUCCGGAGGUAAAGAUUUAUAUAUGGGAAGUUGUCAAACGGGCACCGGGAAGUUUCGGGGUCAUACCGGUAUUGUACCUGGGCCACCGGAAGGGUUCCGGGGGUCCACCGGGAGGGGCCACCCCUCCCGGGGGGGCCACAUGGGCUGCGUGGGGCAGGGAGCCAGCCCCUGGUGGGUUGGGCGCACCCCCUCCUUUGGGCCCUUGCGCCUAGGGUUGAGGGGGGAACCCUAGAGGGGGCGCCCCCUUGGCUUGGGGGGCAAGCCACCCUCUCCCCCUCUCCCCUUGGCCGCCGCACCCCCCUAGAUGGGUUCUAGGGGGCCGGCCCCCUUCUCCCUUCCCCCAAUAAAUAGAGGGGUGAGGGGAGGGCAGCCGCACCACCCUCCAAGGCGCAGCCCUCCCCUCCCCAACACCUCUCCUCCUCCGUUGUGUGCUUGGCGAAGCCCUGUCGGAGUACUGCCUCUCCACCAUCACCACGCCGUCGUGCUGCCGGUGGAGCUGUCUUCCUCAACCUCUCCUUCCCCCUUGCUGGAUCAAGAAGGAGGAGACGUCUCCCGUCCCGUACGUGUGUUGAACGCGGAGGUGCUGUCCGUUCAGCACUUGGUCAUCGGUGAUUCGAAUCACGUCGAGUACGACUCCAUCAUCACCUUGCAAGCUUCCGCACGCGAUCUACAAGUGGUAUGUAGAUGCAAACUCACUCCCUUGACUCGUUGCUUAGAUGAACUCAUAGAUGGAUCUUGGUGAAACCGUAGGAAAAAUUUUAAUUUUCUGCAACGUUCCCCAACACAUGAGCCUUUUCUUCAAAGUUUACUUAAAAGUUGGGUUAUUAGGUAAAAAAUGGUUCCUUUCCUUUUGUGCUUGCAAUUUAUUGUCCUGACAAAAACACUUUUUAUUGCAGUGCUAAGAAAAUGCGUCUACUACUUGACUGAGCUAAAUACUCUUGAUAGCAAACCCUCUCUGGGCAUAUUCGUAGAUUCAAGGUGAGGAGACAUGCCAGCAUACAGACCAGCCUUAAAAAUAGUCAGAUAAACAUUGCAAGAUGUACAUACAUGGCACAUGUACGAUGUUCUAACAAGAGCAUAAAGUUGAUUGAUUCUUGAUAGCAUCACCUGAAUAUAUCACUCACGGAUUCAUGAAUGUUCCCCGUUGCAAUGCACGGCCAUUCACCUAGUAAAGGCAAUGAUUUGUUGGUAGUAGAGGCAUCUCAUGUUUCAAAGGGUUAAACCUUACCGUCGUGACCCGGCUCCAUGGCUGGGUCAAUCUUGCACCUCUGUUGGUGCCGAACCCUAGGCAAAUUCCCCCAAAUCUCUUGUUGUUUCUAUUGAUUGACCGAAUGUGAGGAGCGAUAGUAGAUCAAUAACUCUCGUAUAACCGAGGGAAAAAGAAAUGAAGAGAAGUUGGCGAAAGUAUCAAGUGGUACAUCUACUUUUUAUAAUAUCACAUGAAGCCGGCAAAAAGGAAAGCCGACCAACGAAGAAACUGCAUAGGGGACCUAUCAUGAGUGAACAUUGCGUGGGCGCCACUGGCCGCAUCUCAUCAUAUUGUUGUGUAGAAGAAGAAAUGACCGCCGAUGCUGCUGGUGCCUCCAUCUCUACGACCUUGCCGUCCAAGCCCGCAAUAGCAACAAACACGUAGCACUAGAGCACGGGAGGAGAGGUGAUCAGGGAAAUUCGUCUUUCUUGAUGGCAGGAUAAUUAGUGAUGGGCGACUCCACGCGACGCUGAUGUGAUUUCAGGCCACACUAAAGGAUGUCGGAGAAGGGGGCCGUAGGACGAACUCAACAACAUCGGUAGUGGGCUUGGUGGAUAUUGUGUCGAGGGCUCGGGGACGCACUCGGUGAAGGUGGUGGACCUCGGGGAGGGGGCCCUCAUACACGUGGAUGCAGGGGAAAAGAGGGUGCACGGGCUUGGAGGCAUUACUCAUCCACCUCUUCUGGCAAAGAGAGCUCAUCGGGGCCAACCGCGUGAAGGAGGAGCUUGAGGUAGCUUGGAGGAGGCGACGACGGCAGCCAGAUCCAUGUGGCAAGCCAGAGUGGAGGCAUCCCACAUGGGAGCAGUGAUUUCAGAGCCUAAGCUUAGAUGCACCUGCUAUUAUGUUUGUUCAUUGCUGCAUGGAGAUUCGGGAAAUGGGGCAUGAGGUUGCAUUGCUAGGGCGUGGAAAAUCCCCAAAACGAACUAUACAUGCAUGAAUAGUGCGAUACAUGUGGGUCUAUCAUGUAGCACACGAGGAGGGUUCGAACGAAGGACAAGCAGUGCCAUCUUGGUUGGAUUCUGAUCCAUGGCACCUAAUCGUCUGCAUUCAUCUAAGUCGUGGCUCACUUUGCUAGCCCGUGGUGUGACUUUGAAACUUUGAAUCCGAGUCAUGGCCUAAAGAUUUGUAUAGCUCCAGUUGGGGCCUGCGGUGUAGGAUCGUCAGUACGCACACCGAAUGUCAUCCACGACCGACAUCGGCCAACAGAUUGCUAGCUUACCAGACGCUACAAGAGGUAGCGUCCUUCGUGAAGUUUGUGUGCUUCAUCACCAACCAGGUCAUCCUAAGCCAUAAUGGACAACCCAUUCAUCUACGUAGUUGACUUCAACACUGGAGACGACUUCUCAUGGUCGUUGAUCAUGUCACACCUUGCUCACCAUGGCAACAAGCUGUUUCAUGUCACGUCACUUGCCACCACAUUAAUGCACCGCACGGAUACGCAUGCACCAACAGUCGUGCAUGGUGUCCGUCGGAGUUCGCGCGCGUCCCUAGGGUCUCCCAUUCCAGUACGAUGAGAAGGACCUCCUGGUCUGGGCUGGAAGUCACGUAAUGGUACCUACAACAAUCUCGAAAAGAGUAGAAGGCCUGGAUUUCAAGAGCAUCUGAGCUCGCACUUAGAAAUCUAUUUUUGUUCCCACGGUCCAUACAUAGAGAGAAACUAGAAAAGAAAACGCAAAACACGCAUACAUGCAUGCAUGCUUCCACAAAUGGGUUACCACAUACCUUUCUAGGAUUCUGGUGACCUCACAUUCAUUGUUGACCCCUUAUGACCUCACAUUCAUGGGAGAGAUUUCCUGAUCUCACAUUGUCUCUAUAAAAGUCUAUCACCUCUACGAAUCAUGUGUCUCCACCAUUUCAAAUCCUCCGCGCGCCUAACAUACCACUUGAGAAAUUACUAAUGGCCAACAGAAAGAAUGUCAUGGCCAUGUUAUUUCUCACCACCAUUGUGGCGGUGGCGGCCACAAGGCCAGCCGAGACCUAUGGCGUUGCGGAGGAGAACACAUUGAAGAUGGCUACCCCCAGCAGGAAAGGGGUUGACGCUACCUUAGCAACUACACGUGUUGUUGCCGCCGAGAAGUCCAUCAAGAAGGCUGAAAGCGUCACCACACCAGAAGAGGCCGCGGCUGCCAAGCAAGAUGGAGCAAAAUCUGCUUCUGCUGCAUUAAAGUACAAUGCCAUCUCUCAGCAGGCAAAUGGUAAAGGUUCUUCUACCUCCCUAGGCAGGAAAGAAGCAGCCAAUACUUUAGCCGCCGCACACUAUGCCGCCACCGAGAAGUCCAUCAAGAAGGCCGAAACCACCAAGACACCUGCAAAGGUCGUGGCUGCCAAGCGAGACGCAGCAAAGUCUGUUGAUGAUGCAUUAAAGUAUGGUGCCAUCUCUCGGAAAGCAGCUGGUACAAGUUCUUCUACCUCCCCCAAUAAGAAAGAAGGCACCACUGAUGCUGCUAAGAUGUUCACCAAGAAGGCUGAAACCGCUACCACACCUGAAGAGGCCGCGGCUGCCAAGCAAGCUGCAGCCAAGUCUACCGCUGCUGCAUCAAAGUAUGGUGUCAUUUCUCAGCAAGUAGCUGGUACAAGUUCUUCUACCUCCCCUAGCAGGAAAGAAGCUGCCGGUACCUUGGCAGAUGCUCGCAUAGCUGCUGCCGAGAAGUCCAUCAAGAAGGCUGAAACCGCCACAAGACCUGAAGAGGCAGCAUCCGCUAAGAAGGAUGCCACAAAAUCCGAGGCUGAUGCAAUGAAGUACGGGGCCAUCUCUCAGCAGGCCGCCGGCAAAAAUGGUGCCUAAGUGGUGCCUUAAACACCUAUUCACACGCAACAUCAUCUACAUACUACCAUGCAUGCAAAAUAGCAGCAUUCAGAUACCACAUUAUGCUAAUUCUCAUGCAUGCACACUUUGUUUAAACGUUCCCAUUACGAAUCAUGUAUUAAUGUCUUGCUUGUUUUAUUUUUAGUAGUAAGACAUGCUUGACUUGCUUUAAAAAAAAUACAACAAUCGAUGUAUACAUGUAUUAUCUAAAAAUCAGUAAUAUGAGUUCCACCGCAAUUUGUUUCUUUUUGUCAUAAUUUGGGUGCAAUCAAUGCACACAUCCAAUACACAAAAUUGGACGACUCAAUGUGUUGUGGCUCCAUGGAGCGGCGAAUCAUGUUUUAUUGUCUUGCUUGUUUUACUUUUAGUAGUAAUGUCUUGCUGGUCAAUGUAUUAUGGCUCCAUGGAGCGGCAUAAUGAUAUAUGAUAUAUCUUCACUACUUCAAAAAGAACUUAAGGUUUCGUCAUACAUCUUUCCUUCAUCCAUCCUCCCUACGAAUCCUUCCUGUUUUGAUUUUUUUCUCCCAUCUUUGAUUUUUCUCCCCAUUGAUUCUACCUAAAAACCACCUCAAUGUCACAUGUUUACUGUAUAUGUCAAGGCCUCCUUUGGUUCAUAGGGUAGAAAAAAACAUAGGAAUAGGAAAGUCAUAGGAAAUGAGAUGACAUGUAUCUCAAAUCCUAUGAUUGGGAAUAGGAAAGGAGAUGCCCUUUGAUUCACAUCAUAGGAUUUUUUCAUUGAAUCUAGGCUAAUGUUUAUUUUCCUAUGAAAUGUGAAGGAGAGGAAGAAUUCCUCCAUAGGAUUAGGAUUCCAUUCCUACAAACCAAAGGACUCUAAAGGAAUUUUUUCUAUAGAAAUCCUAUCCUAUGAAAUUCUUACAAGAUUCCUCCAAAUCAAAGGAGGCCCAAGUGGUUGUGAUGAGACAGUGGCUGGGCACUUCAGAUUUAUUCCCGUAACUGACUGUCAAAUUGAGUCAUCUGUCGUCCUUUCGAUGAUUGUAAGAAAGUUAUAUGUUUACUGUAUGUGCCAAUUGGUUGUGAUUAUCGUUACCGGCCACAAAGUUAUAUUUUCUUGUCUUAACGAAGGGUUGCAUACAAUGCGUGUAGCUCUUGACGCCUGAUAACCCACAAGUAUAGGGGAUCGCAACAGUUUUUGAGGGUAGAGUAUUCAACACAAAUUUAUAGAUUCGACACAAGGGGAGCCAAAGAAUAUUUGUAAGUAUUAACAGCUGAGUUAUCAAUUCAACCACACCUGGAGAUUAAUUAUCUGCAGCAAAGUGAUCAGUAGCAUAGUAGUAUGAUAGUUUUGAUAGUAGUAGCAACAUCAACAGUAACGGUAAUAGUGGUAGCAAUGGUUUUGUAGCAGUGACAAUAGUAACAGCAGCAGUAGUAACUUAGCAAGAACAAUAUGUACGAAAAUCGUACGCAUUGGAUCGGUGAUUUGUUGGAUGAUAUUCAUCAUGUGACAGUUACAACCUAGGACGAUACGGCACUAGCUCCAGUUCAUAAAUAUAAUGUAGGCAUGUAUUCUAUAAAUAAUCAUACGUGCUUAUGGAAAGAACUUGUAUGACAUCUUUUGUCCUACCCUCCUGUGGCAGCGGUGUCCUAUUGGAAACUAAGGGAUAUUAAGGCCUCCUUUUAAUAGAGAACCAGAACAAAGCAUUAACACACGGUGAAUACAUGAACUCCUCAAACUACGGUCAUCACAGGGAAGUGUCCCGACUAUUGUCACUCCGGGGUUGCCGGAUCAUAACACGUAGUAGGUAACUAUAACUUGCAAGAUUGGAUCUAGAACAUAGAUAUAAUGGUGAUAACAUAAGUCAUAGCAACAUCAAUCUCAGAACAUAAUGGAUACUCGGGAUGAAGCCCUAACAAAACUAACUCAAUUACAUGAUGAAUCUCAUCCAACUCCUCACCGACCAGCGAGCCUACGAAGGAAUUACUCACUCCUGGUGGGGAGCAUCAUGGAAUUGGCGAUGGAGAAGGGUUGGUGAUGACGAAGAUCGAAGACCCCCCUCUCUGGAGCCCCAAACGGACUCCAAAUCUAGCCUCCCGAUGAAGAACAGGAGAUGACGGCGGCUCUGUCUCGUGGAUCGUGAUAAUUCUUUCUUCCUGAUUUUUUCUGGAAAAAUAGGAUUUUAUAGCGUCGGAUUCAGGGCCUGCGGGGCCACCAGGUGGGGACAACCCACCUGGGUGUGCUUGGAGGGGGGGGGCCUGGUGGGUUGUGCCCAUCCAGGUGCCCCCCUCCGGUUGUUCUUGGCUCCAGAAAUUCUCUGUAUUUGUAUAAAAAUUCCUCGCAAAGUUUUGUUCCAAUCCGAAAACUUUUAUUUCUGCACAAAAAAAACACCAUGGUAGUUUUGUUGGAAACAGCGUCAGUCCGGGUUAGUUUCAUUCAAAUCAUGCAAAUUAGAGUGCAAAACAAGAGGAAAGUGUUAGGAAAAGUAGAUACGACGGAGAUGUAUCAACUCCUCCAAGCUUAAACCUUUGCUUGUCCUCAAGCAAUUCAGUUGAUAAACUGAAAGUGAAAAAAAAAUUACGAACUCUUUUGCUCUUGUUUUCAUAAAUAAGCUUAAACAUCACCCAGUGUCGAUGUCAAAACCGGCGGAUCUCGGAUAGGGGGUCCCGAACUGUGCGUCUAGGCGGAUGGUAACAGGAGACAAGGGACACGAUGUUUACCCAGGUUCGGGCCCUCUCGAUGGAGGUAAAACCCUACUCCUGCUUGAUUAAUAUUGAUGAUAUGGGCAGUACAAGAGUAGAUCUACCACGAGAUCAAGGAGGCUAAACCCUAGAAGGUAGCCUAUGGUAUGAUUGUUGUUGUCCUACAGACUAAAACUCUCUGGUUUAUAUAGACACCGGAGAGGGUUAGGGUUACACAGAGUCGGUUACAAUGGUAGGAGAUCUACAUAUCUGUAUCGCCAAGCUUGCCUUCCACGCCAAGGAAAGUCCCUUCCAGACACGGGAAGAAGUCUUCAAUCUUGUAUGUUCAUAGUCCGGGAGUCCGGCUGAAGGUAUCGUCCGGCUAUCCGGACACCCCCUAAUUCAGGACUCCCUUAGAGCCCCCGAACCAGGCUUCAAUGACGACGAGUCUGGCACGCAAAUUGUCUUCGGCAUUGCAAGGCGGGUUCUCCUUCAAUUUCUGUGUACCUGCUGAAUAAUGUCCGGUUUCUUAUAAAUGUAGCGCUCCUCGGCUUCCACGCCCAAUAAUGGCCGUCUUCCACGUGUCAAAUGAAUACGAAAAGUCUGGGUGUUUUUACAUUCACACCCCCAGCCGCGUAAAUGAGCCGCCUAUUUAAAGGGACGGGGAUUUAGAUCCAAACCACACCUUCUCCUCUCCGCGAGUUUCAUCAGAGCGCAUCCGACAAAGGACCGUUCCAUCAUGGCCAGCCGUCGCAGCUCCUCCUCUCGCCCUUCCAGCCCUCAUCCUGGAGAUUGGGAGAGAUGCUCCGUCCCGCACAGCGAGCUAGUGUCGCUUCGGACCAAAGGGAUUUCUUCCUCCGGCCUAUAUGGUCCCGGUUCGAGCCGGACUUGCCACCUAUAAUGGCGGAGAGCAAGUGGAGAGCGCCCCCAAUCCCUCCAAAGGAGAGCGGGUAUGCCUUGUCCCUUAUUUAAUAAGAGGGCUCGGAUUUCCAAUUCAUCCAUUUCUCCGGGGGCUCCUGGAGUUCUAUGGCCUCCAGCUGCACAACCUCACGCCUGUCUCCGUAUUGCAUAUUGCGGGCUUCGUAGCCCUUUGCGAGUUGUUUUUGGGUGUUGAGGCUCAUUUCGCGCUGUGGAAGAGGCUAUUCUGCCUUGUGCCCUGUUCUUAGGAGGGGUCAAUAUAUCAAGUGGGCGGAGCCAAAGUGUGGUGUAUCGCCGGGACCGGAUAUCUAUCCGGAACCCCAAAGAAGGCGUCUGAGGACUGGCCUUCAGAAUGGUUUUAUAUAGAGGACGUCCCGUUGCCGGAUCCUGUUCGGAUCGGCCUCCCUGAGUUCAACAGCGCUCCCCUAAAGAAAAACCUAAGCUGGCGCCCACGGAGCCCUCAGAGAGAAAGUGACAAGGACAUUCUUUACCUGAUGGGCCGGAUAAGAUUAUUAGCUCAUUCCGGACUAACCAUGAUCGGAGUCAUGGCUGCAUGCAUCAUGCGAGGGGUGCAACCGCUUCAGUACAGAGGCCACCCCAUGUGGGACUUCAACGGGGAGGAUGAUGCCACCCGUCACGGCCGUAAGGGGCCGGACUCGGCUACCGCUCUAGUAAAGAUCUUGUCCGCUUUGUACAAGGGAGAAGAGGAGGAAUUUCUCCGCGUCAACCCACAGGGUGGAUUUACCAUGUACAAUCCCCCAAGUUGGGUAAGUGGGCAAUUUUACUUGCACGUCUGUUUUGUAUUCCCAUCAUUAAAUAUAUAGUCUAACGACUUCAACGCAGGAACUGCGCCUGGAAGUAAAGGACAUAAAUAGCCCGCCUCCACAGCCCGAGGACCCAGAGUUGUCCCUCGAUCCGGCCUCCGAAGAGGAUCCGGACUUAUCCAUGGAGUUAAUUGAUGGGGUGUUUUAUCAAUUGAGCAAGGACAAUGCCUUGGUGGCCAUUAAGGCCGAUUACCCGGGGCUGCUCCCGGCCUCCCAGGUAACUGAGACCGAAGUCCUAGCACCUCAAAAAGGGAUCCGCCCUCGCGUGUUUUUCAGUUUCCUGACAACAACCGUGUUUUGCAGGGGAGGUUCUUGAGACGGGAGGCCGAGCCUGCGGCGACUAGCCAACGAGGGGCUACAGGGCCCCGUGGGAUGAAAAGAAGUGCAGUCCGGAUUGAGGCGCCGGCGCAGAGGUAUAGCACGCCUUCUUAUUCCCAGGUGUUAUUCCUUCAAGGCAUAUUAACACUCGUGCUCUUUUCAGGACAAAAAGACCCCGCCGGACUAUAUCUGGAGAGGCUGCCAAUCGCGCCUCCACCAGCCAGGCUCCAAAGCCUGGUCCGGAGACGGAGGCGAACACGAGGCGCGCACCGGACGCUCCUCCAACAGAGGAUGCGGACAGGCUGUCCGCCACUAAUUCCGAGGUGGAGAGUGCCAUGAACCACAGGCGUCGCCGGACAGUUCUUCGCGACGCUUGUUUCUCCCAAGAGGCAUUGGACGCCUUCAAUUCGGGAGAUGCGUACCUCCGUGCCGCUCAAAAUGGUCUAGCCAGAGCCACGGAGCAAUAUGUAAAAGACAUACAGGUGAGAAAAUUUAAUGGUUAUAUAUAUCAGUAGCCCCCGAGACUUGAAACAGUUAGAAGAACUGAUUUAAGGAUCAUUCAUAAUGCAGGUUCUUGCGGAAAAGAAUACCCAACUGUCCCAGGAGCUAGAAGAGUGCAAAGCCCAACUUGAGGCCGCACUAGCCGCGACAGGGGAGCCCAAGGAGACCCCCUCUGGUAAUAUGUGCUUCAAAAAGAGAAGUAUUUUGUGAAGUGCGGCGUUUGUGCAAAUCUGACAAAUGAAAUUGCAGAUGGCGCCGGAUUAGAUCCGGAAAAGCAACAACUCCUACGCCAGCUAAAGGCUGGUGAGAGCGUGCUGACAAAGGUGAGGUGGGAGAAGAACGAUCUCCAAUAUGCCAACACCAAGCUGGGCGUUGAACUGAAAGAUGUUUGUGCCCAGCUGUCGGACUCCGCUAAGGAGAAUCAGCGGCUUCGACGCGGCAUAUUUAGUAAGUGCUUAAACGAACUUUGAAUAAAGAGUUCGACGAGGAAGUCGACUAACGGAGUAAUGUCUGUAGGUAUGCUAACAGGUCGUCCUGCAGAGGAGAUGCCCGGUUCUAUGGGUGACCUUCUUCCCGAGCUCUUGCAACUGCACGAGCGAGUUCGGCAGGUGAUGCAGGGCGUCGCCCAGGCCUUGUGGCCAUCCAUCUCCAUGCCCGAAGGACUUGGAGAGCUUGCAGAGAAGCUGAAGGGAGCGCGGCGGCGCUUCUGAUUGUGGAAGAUAUCGGCCUGCGUCAAGGCGCUAGGGAGGCAUGGGCCAUGGUGAAGACGCGGUACACGAAGGCUGACCCAAACCACAUGGCCGAGGUCGGACCUGUGGGGCCCGAUGGGAAGGAGAUCCCUGUAAGCUUCGUAUACGGCUAAGUAGAAUUGGCCGCAAAGUAUUCCCAGCAGGACUGUAAGCUAGACAGCCUGUUAGAUGGUAUUGAAGAGGAAUACAAUCAGUCAUAAUGACUAUGUAAUUUUAAUUGACAUGUGUAAUGCCUUCUAGCCAGAUUGUAGAUCAUUUUUCAUGGCCGACCUUUUUGCUUCGACCUCGGGACCUGCGGUCUGGAGUGUGUCCGAAUACCCUUGCGGUUAUAUAAGAACCGGGGUAUGCAUGGAGACUAGGCGUAGGGGUCAUUAGUGCUUGAACAGACAAGUGCCCGACUAGUUAUGUUAUAUUACAUGGUUAGUAAGAAACAUCUUCCAGGGAGAAUAGUUCCGUUAGGGGUUCCUUUCCCUGGGAGGCAUGCCCUAAAGUGCAUGUCCAUUCUGCGAAAAAGAGACGCAGGAAAAAACAUCUGGGGGCGCAUAGAUAAAUAAGUGAAAAAAUCAUCUUUAGUUCACCGACCGAAUAUUUCCUUAAGAACGCUAGCUUUCGGCUUCACCCAGUCUGAGGUACACAUCGGGCUGACCCGGCAGUAACAAUCGCAGAGGUGCUCCCUUUACCACCUAGCCGAACAAUCGGGAACAUAGGGGUAAGCACAGGAGCCAGGCAACCCAGCUUGGCCAAAAAUUAAGUCAUAUCGAUGCAUAUGAUGGUGAAUAAAAGGUACAUGCGGAAGUGUGACACAUGUGUUGGGCAUGAAGCCCGUAUAAGCUUCUGUUCAAAGAAGCCCCCAGGUUUAGUGAGCGUGGAUAGCGCGUCACUUGAUGAGCCUUUAAAGGCUAUAAGAGAAAGGAGGGGGAGAAGGAGAAAAUGGAAGACAGAAAAUAUAAAAAAUGGACAGAGGAAGGAGACGAACAUAGAGUCCGGCGCUAGGCAUAGAAUCUUCGGAGACGGGCUGCGUUCCAUGGGUUCGGUUCGAGUCGGUUAUCCGAUGCAUCUCGCAGGCGGUAUGCUCCACCAGUCAGGACUUGGUCAAUUAUGAAGGGACCUUCCCACUUGGGCUGGAGUUUGUCCUUUUUCUUGUCCGGCAGGCGUAGAACUAGUUCGCCAACAUUGUAAUUUUUGGCCCGUACUUCUCUGCUUUGAUAUCUUCGAGCCUGCUGUUGAUAGAAUGCGGAACGGGCUUUUGCCACGUCACGCUCCUCCUCCAAGGCAUCUAAACUGUCCUGCCGAUCGAGCUCGGCUUCUCUUUCUUCGUACAUGCGCACUCAAGGUGAGUCAUGAAUUAUAUCGCAGGGCAAAACUGCUUCUGCACCGUACACCAUGAAGAAUGGUGUGUAUCCGGUGGUGCGAUUCGACGUGGUCCGCAGCCCCCAGAGUACGGAGUCGAGCUCCUCUACCCAGUGCGUGUUAGAUUCCUUAAGGUACCGCACUAAUCUGGGUUUGAUGCCGCUCAUGAUAAGACCAUUUGCGUGUUCGACCUGUCCGUUAGUUUGUGGGUGAUAGACGGAAGCAUAAUCGAGCUUGAUGCCCAUGUUUUUGCACCAGAGUUUUACCUCAUCGACCGUAAAGUUCGUACCGUUAUCAGUGAUGAUGCUGUGGGGGACGCCGUAACGGUGUACGACCCCCGAUAUAAAGUCUAUCACCGGUCCGGAUUCGGCCGUCUUAAUAGGCUUGGCCUCUAUCCAUUUGGUGAACUUAUCCACCAUGACCAGUAAGUAUUUUUUCUUCUGGGUUCCGCCUUUAAGGGGUCCAACCAUGUCAAGCCCCCAGACCGCGAAGGGCCAAGUGAUGGGGAUAGUUUGGAGGGCGGUGGGUGGCAUAUGGCUUUGGUUUGGCAAAAGCUGGCAACCGACGCAUCGUUGGACUAAGUCCUGAGCGUCUGCCCGGGCCGUUGGCCAAUAAAAGCCUGUACGGAAAGUCUUGCUUACGAGGGACCGAGUUGCGGUGUGAUGACCAUCGAGUCCGGCAUGAAUUUCAGCCAGCAAGUUCCGCCCAUCCUCCUCGGAGAUGCACCUUUGAAGGACUCCGGUAGUGCUUUUCUUAUAAAGCUCUCCCUCAUGGACUUUAUAGGCUUUAGAUCGCCGCACUAUGCAGCGUGCCUCAUUUUGGUCUUCUGGGAGUUCCUGCCUAGUAAGGUAGGCUAGGAAUGGUUCUGUCCACGGGGCGAUGACCGCCAUUAUUACGUGGGCUGAAGAUGUGACUUCAUUGGCAGAAUCUCCAAUUAUGUCAGUGUUGGGUAACGUAGCAGAAAUUCAAAAUUUUCCUACGUGUCACCAAGAUCUAUCUAUGGAGAAACCAGCAACGAGGGGAAGGAGAGUGCAUCUACAUACCCUUGUAGAUCGCUAAGCGGAAGCGUUCAAGAGAACGGGGUUGAAGGAGUCGUACUCGUCGUGAUCCAAAUCACCGAUGAUCCUAGUGCCGAACGGACGGCACCUCCGCGUUCAACACACGUACAGCCCGGUGACGUAUCCCACGCCUUGAUCCAGCAAGGAGAGAGGGAGAGGUUGAGGAAGACUCCAUCCAGCAGCAGCACAACGGCGUGGUGGUGGUGGAGGAGCGUGGCAAUCCUGCAGGGCUUCGCCAAGCACCACGGGAGAGGAGGAAGGAGAGAUGCAGGGCUGCGUCAUAUAGAAGAGAGGAACUCGCGUCUUAUGAGCAGCCCAAACCUCAACUAUAUAUAGGGGAAGGGGAGAGGCUGCGGCCCCUUUAGGGUUUCCACCCCUAGGGGUGGCGGCCAGCCUAGAUCCCAUCUAAGGGAGGCGGCCAAGGGGGAGGGGGAGAGGGAGGCGCACCAGGAUGGGCCUUAGGGCCCAUCUGCCCUAGGGUUUGCCCCCUUCUCCUCUCCCUUGCACCUUGGGCCCUUGUGGGGGGGGGGGCGCACCAGCCCACCUGGGGCUGGUCCCCUUCCACACUUGGCCCAUGAAGCCCUCCGGGGCUGGUUUGCCCCACUUGGUGGACCCCCGGGACCCUCCCGGUGGUCCCGGUACGUCACCGAUAAACCCCGAAACUUUUCCGGUGACCAAAACAGGACUUCCCAUAUAUAAAUGUUUACCUCCGGACCAUUCCAGAACUCCUCGUGACGUCCGAGAUCUCAUCCGGGACUCCGAACAACAUUCGGUAACCACAUACAAACUUCCUUUAUAACCCCAGCGUCAUCGAACCUUAAGUGUGUAGACCCUACGGGUUUGGGAGACAUGCAGACAUGACCGAGACGUUCUCUGGUCAAUAACCAAUAGCGGGAUCUGGAUACCCAUGUUGGCUCCCACAUGUUCCACGAUGAUCUCAUCGGAUGAACCACGAUGUCAAGGACUUAAUCAAUCCCGUAUACAAUUCCCUUUGUCUAUCGGUACGAUACUCGCCCGAGAUUCGAUCGUCGGUAUCCCGAUACCUUGUUCAAUCUCAUUACCGGCAAGUCUCUUUACUCGUUCCGUAACACAUCAUCCCGUGAUCAACUCCUUGAUCACAUUGUGCACAUUAUGAUGAUGUCCUACCGAGUGGGCCCAGGGAUACCUCUCCGUCACACGGAGUGAUAAAUCCCAGUCUCGAUUCGUGCCAACCCAACAGACACUUUCAGAGAUACCCGUAGUGUACCUUUAUAGCCACCCAGUUACCUUGUGACGUUUGGCACACCCAAAGCACUCCUACGGUAACCGGGAGUUGCACAAUCUCAUGGUCUAAGGAAAUGAUACUUGACAUUAGAAAAGCUUUAGCAUACGAACUACACGAUCUAGUGCUAUGCUUAGGAUUGGGUCUUGUCCAUCACAUCAUUUUCCUAAUGAUGUGAUCCCGUUAUCAACGACAUCCAAUGUCCAUGGUCAGGAAACCGUAACCAUCUAUUGAUCAACGAGCUAGUCAACUAGAGGCUUACUAGGGACAUGGUGUUGUCUAUGUAUCCACACAUGUAUCUGAGUUUCCUAUCAAUAUAAUUCUAGCAUGGAUAAUAAACGAUUAUCAUGAACAAGGAAAUAUAAUAAUAAUCAAUUUAUUAUUUCCUCUAGGGCAUAUUUCCAACAGUCUCCCACUUGCACUAGAGUCAAUAAUCCAGUUCACAUCGUUAUGUGACUAACACUCAAGGUCACAUCCCCAUGUGACUAACACCCAAAGAGUUUACUAGAGUCAAUAAUCUAGUUCACAUUUACCAUGUGAUUAACACUCGAUGAGUUCUGGGUUUGAUCAUGUUAUGCUUGUGAGAGAGGUUAUAGUCAACGGGUCUGAACCUUUCAGAUCCGUGUGUGCUUUACAAAUCUCUAUGUCAUCUCCUAGAUGCAGCUACCACGCUCUAUUUGGAGCUAUUCCAAAUAACUGUUCUACUAUACGAAUCCAGUUUACUACUCAGAAUAAUCUGGAUUAGUGUCAAAGUUUGCAUCGGCGUAACCCUUUACGACGAACUCUUUUACCACCUCCAUAAUCGAGAAAAUUCCUUAGUCCACUAGUUACUAAGGAUAACUUUGAUCGCUGUCCUGUGAUCCAUUCUUGGAUCACUCUUGUACCCCUUGACUGACUCAUGGCAAGGCACACUUCAGGUGCGGUACAUAGCAUAGCAUACUGUAGAGCCUAUGUCUUAAGCAUAGGGGACGACCUUCGUUCUUUCUCUCUAUUCUGCCGUGGUCAAGCUUUAAGUCUUAACUUCAUACCUUACAACUCAGGCAAGAACUCCUUCUUUGACUGAUCCAUCUUGAACACCUUCAAGAUCAUGUCAAGGAAUGUGCUCAUUUGAAAGUACCAUUAAGUGUUUUGAUCUAUCCUUAUAGAUCUUGAUGCUCAAUGUUCAAAUAGCUUAAUCCAGGCUUUCCAUUGAAAAAACACUUUCCAAAUAACCCUAUAUGCUUUCCAGAAAUUCUACGUCAUUUCUGAUCAACAAUAUGUCAACAACAUAUAUUCAUCAGAAAUUCUAUAGUGCUCCCACUCACUUCUUUGGAAAUACAAGUUUCUCAUAAACUUCGUAUUCACCCAAAAUCUUUGAUCAUCUCAUCAAAGCAUACAUUCCAACUCGAGAUGCUUACUCCAGUACUUAGAAGGAUUGCUGGAGCUUUGCAUACUUAUUAGCAUAUUUCAGGAUUGACAAAACCUUCCGGUUGUAUCACAUACAACCUUUCCUCAAAAAUCAUCGAGGAAACAAUGUUUUGACAUCCUAUCUGCAAGAUUUCAUAAAUGAUGCAGUAAUUGCUAAUAUAAUUCCAACAGACUCUUAGCAUCGCUACGAGUGAGAAAGUCUCAUCGUAGUCAACUCCUUGAACUUGUCGGAAAACAUCUUAAUGACAAGUCGAGCUUUCUUAAUGGUGAUACUUACCAUCAUUGUCCGUCUUCCUUUUAAAAUCCAUAUGUACCUAACAGCCUUACGACCAUCAAGUUGUUCUUCCAAAGUCUACACUUUGUUUUCACAUAUGGAUCCUCUCUCGGAUUAUAUGGCCUUGAGCCAUUUUGGAAUCCAGGCCCACCAUUGCUCCUCCAUAGCUCGUAGGUUCAUUGUUGUCUAGCAACAUGACUUCCAAGACAGGAUUACGUACCAUUCUAAAGCAGUACACAUCCUUGUCAUCCCACGAGGUUUGGUAGUGACUUGAUCUGAAGUUUCAUGAUCACUAUCAUAAGCUUCCACUUCAAUUGGUGUAGGUGCCACAGGAACAACUCCCUGUGCCCUGCCACACACUAGUUGAAGAGAUGGUUCAAUAACCUCAUCAAGUCUCCACCAUCCUCCCACUCAAUUCUUUCGAGAGAAACUUUUCCUCGAGAAAGGACCCGAUUCUAGUAACAAUCCCUUAUUGCUUUCGAAUCUGAGACAGGAGGUAUACCCAACUGUUUUGGGUGUCCUAUGAAGAUGUAUUUAUCCGCUUUGGGUUCGAGCUUAUCGACCUGAAACUUUUUCACAUAAGCGUCGCAGCCCCAAACUUUUAAGAAAUGACAGCUUAGGUUUCUCUAAACCAUAGUUCAUACGGUGUCAUCUCAUCGGAAUUACGUGGUGCCCUAUUUAAAGUGAAUGUGGUUGUCUCUAAUGCCUAACCCAUAAACUAUUGUGGUAAUUCGAUAAGAGACAUCAUGGUAUGCAUCAUAUCCAAUAGGGUGCAGUUAUGAUGUUCGGACACACCAUCACACUAUGGUGUUCCAGGCUGUAUCAGUUGUGAAACAAUUUCCACAAUGUCUUAAUUCUGUGCCAAACUCGUAAUUCAGAUAUUCAUCUCUAUGAUCAUAUCAUAGAUAUUUUAUCCUCUUGUCACGAUGAUCUUUCAACUUCACCCUGAAAUUACUUGAACCUUUCAAUAAUUCAAACUCAUGAUUCAUCAAGUAAAUAUACUCAACAUCUACUCAAAUCAUCUGUGAAGUAAGAACAUAACGAUAUCCACUACAUUCCUCAGCACUCAUUGGACUGCACACAUCAAAAUGUAUUACUUCCAACAAGUUGCUUUCUAGUUCCAUUUUACUGAAACCGAGGCUUUCAGUCAUCUUGCCCAUGUGGUAUGAUUUGCAUGUCUCAAGUGAUUCAAAAUCAAGUGAGUCCAAAUGGUCCAUUUGCAUGGAGUUUCUUCAUGCAUAUACACCAAUAGACAUGGUUCGCAUGUCUCAAACUUUUCAAAAAUGAGUGAGCCCAAAGAUCCAUCAACAUGGAGCUUCUUCAUGCGUUUUAUACUGAUAUGACUUACGUGGCAGUGCCACAAGUAGGUGGUACUAUCAUUACUAUCUUAUAUCUUUUGGCAUGAACAUGUGUAUCACUACGAUCAAGAUUCAAUAAACCAUUCAUUUUAGGUGCAAGACCAUUGAAGGUAUUAUUCAAAUGAACAGAGUAACCAUUAUUCUCCUUAAAUGAAUAGCCGUAUCGCGAUAGACAUAAUCCAAUCAUGUCUAUGCUCAACGCAAACACCAAAUAACAAUUAUUUAGGUUUAACACCAAUCUCGAUGGUAGAGGGAGCGUGCGAUGCUUGAUCAUAUCAACAUUGGAAACACUUCCAACACAUAUCGUCAGCUCACCUUUAGCUAGUCUCCGUUUAUUCCGUAGCUUUUAUUUCAAGUUACUAACACUUAGCAACCGAACCGGUAUCUAAUACCCUGGUGCUACUAGGAGUACCAGUAAAGUACACAUUAACACAAUGUAUAUCCAAUAUACUUCUAUCGACCUUGCCAGCCUUCUCUUCUACCAAGUAUCUAGGGUAAUUCUGCUCCAGUGGCUGUUCCCCUUAUUACAGAAGCACUUAAUUAGUCUCGGGUUUGGGUUCAACCUUGGGUUUCUUCACUAGAGCAGCAGCUAAUUUGCCGUUUCAUGAAGUAUCCCUUCUUGCCCUUGCCCUUCUUGAAACUAGUGGUUUCACCAACCAUCAACAAUUGAUGCUCCUUCUUGAUUUCUACUUUUGUGGUGUCAAACAUCGCGAAUAUCUCAAGGAUCAUCAUAUAUGUCCCUGAUAUAUUAUAGUUCAUCACGAAGCUCUAGCAGCUUGGUGGUAAUGACUUCGGAGAAACAUCACUUUCUCAUCUGGAAGAUCAACUCCCACUCGAUUCAAAUGAUUGUUGUACUCAGACAAUCUGAGCACAAGCUCAACAAUUGAGCUUUUCUCCCUUAGUUUGCAGGCUAAGAAAAUUGUCGGAGGUCUUAUACCUCUUGACAUGGGCACGAGCCUGAAAUCCAAAUUUCAGCCCUCGAAACAUCUCAUAUGUUUUGCGACGUUUCAAAACGUCUUUGGUGCCUCAACUCUAAACCGUUUAACUGAACUAUCACGUAGUUAUGAAAAUGUGUAUGUCAGAUGUUCGCAACAUCCACAGACAACGUUCGAGGUUCAGCACACUGAGCGGUGCAUUAAGGACAUAAGCCUUCUAUGAAGCAAUGAGGACAAUCCUCAGUUUACGGACCUAGUCCGCAUAAUUGCUACUAUCAACUUUCAACUAUUUUUUUUUCUCUAGGAACAUAUCUAAACAGUAGAACUAAAGCGCGAGCUACGACAUAAUUUGCAAAAUCCUUUUGACUAUGUUCAGGAUAAACAAGUUCAUCUUAUGAACUUCCACUCAGAUAGAUAUCCCUCUAGUCAUCUAAGUGAUUACAUGAUCCGAGUCAACUAGGCCGUGUUCGAUCAUCACGUGAGACGGACUAGUCAUCAUCGGUGAACAUCUUCAUGUUGAUCGUAUCUACCAUACGACUCAUGCUCGACCUUUCGGUCUCUUGUGUUCCGAGGCCAUGUCUGUACAUGCUAGGCUCAUCAAGUCAACCUAAGUGUUUCGCGUGUGUAAAUCUGUCUUACACCCGUUGUAUGUGAACGUUAGAAUCUAUCACGCCCGAUCAUCACGUGGUGCUUCGAAACGACGAACUUUCGCAACGGUGCAUAGUUAGGGGGAACACUUUCUUGAAAUUUUAAUGAGGGAUCAUCUUAUUUACUACUGUCGUUCUAAGCAAAUAAGAUGUAUAAACAUGAUAAACAUCACAUGCAAUCAAAUAGUGAUAUGAUAUGGCCAAUAUCAUAGUGCUCCUUUUGAUCUCCAUCUUCGGGGCUCCAUGAUCAUCAUCACCGGCAUGACACCAUGAUCUCCAUCAUCAUGAUCUCCAUCAUCGUGUCUUCAUGAAGUUGUCUCGCCAACUAUUACUUCUACUACUACAGCUAACUGUUAGCAAUAAAGUGAAGUAAUUACAUGGCGUUGUUUAAUGACACGCAGGUCAUAUAAUAAAUUAAGACAACUCCUAUGGCUCCUGCCGGUUGUCAUACUCAUCGACAUGCAAGUCGUGAUUCCUAUUACAAGAACAUGAUCAAUCUCAUACAUCACAUAUCAUUCAUCACAUUCUUCUUGGCCAUAUCACAUCACAUAGCAUACCCUGCAAAAACAAGUUAGACGUCCUCUAAUUGUUGUUUGCAUGUUUUACGUGGCUGCUAUGGGUUUCUAGCAAGAACGUUUCUUACCUACGCAAAACCACAACGUGAUAUGCCAAUUGCUAUUUACCCUUCAUAAGGACCCUUUUCAUCGAAUCCGAUCCGUCUAAAGUGGGAGAGACAAACACCCGCCAGCCACCUUAUGCAACUAGUGCAUGUUUGUCGAUGGAACCGGUCUCACGUAAGCGUAUGUGUAAGGUUGGUCCGGGCCGCUUCAUCCCACAAUGCCGCCGAAUCAAGAUUGGACUAGUAACGGUAAGCAUAUUGAACAAAAUCAACGCCCACAACUACUUUGUGUUCUACUCGUGCAUAGAAUCUACGCAAUAGACCUAGCUCAUGAUGCCACUGUUGGGUAACGUAGCAGAAAUUCAAAAUUUUCCUAUGUGUCACCAAGAUCUAUCUAUGGAGAAACCAGCAACGAGGGGAAGGAGAGUGCAUCUACAUACCCUUGUAGAUCGCUAAGCAGAAGCGUUCAAGAGAACGUGGUUGAAGGAGUCGUACUCGUCAUGAUCCAAAUCACCGAUGAUCCUAGUGCCGAACGGAUGACACCUCUGCGUUCAACACACGUACAGCCCGGUGACGUAUCCCACGCCUUGAUCCAGCAAGGAGAGAGGGAGAGGUUGAGGAAGACUCCAUCCAGCAGCAGCACAACGGCGUGGUGGUGGUGGAGGAGCGUGGCAAUCCUGCAGGGCUUCGCCAAGCACCACGGGAGAGGAGGAAGGAGAGAUGCAGGGCUGCGUCAUAUAGAGGAGAGGAACUCGCGUCUUAUGAGCAGCCCAAACCUCAACUAUAUAUAGGGGAAGGGGAGGGGCUGCGACCCCUUUAGGGUUUCCACCCCUAGGGGUGGCGGCCAGCCUAGAUCCCAUCUAAGGGAGGCGGCCAAGGGGGAGGGGGAGAGGGAGGCGCACCAGGAUGGGCCUUAGGGCCCAUCUGCCCUAGGGUUUGCCCCCUUCUCCUCUCCCUUGCGCCUUGGGCCCUUGUGGGGGGGGGCGCACCAGCCCACCUGGGGCUGGUCCCCUUCCACACUUGGCCCAUGAAGCCCUCCGGGGCUGGUGGCCCCACUUGGUGGACCCCCGGGACCCUCCCGGUGGUCCCGGUACGUUACCGAUAAACCCCAAAACUUUUCCGGUGACCAAAAUAGGACUUCCCAUAUAUAAAUCUUUACCUCCGGACCAUUCCGGAACUCCUCGUGACGUUCGGGAUCUCAUUCGGGACUCCGAACAACAUUCGGUAACCACAUACAAACUUCCUUUAUAACCCCAGAGUCAUCGAACCUUAAGUGUGUAGACCCUACGGGUUCGGGAGACAUGCAGGCAUGACCGAGACGUUCUCCGGUCAAUAACCAACAGCGGGAUCUGGAUACCCAUGUUGGCUCCCACAUGUUCCACGAUGAUCUCAUCGGAUGAACCACGAUGUCAAGGACUUAAUCAAUCCCGUAUACAAUUCCCUUUGUCUAUCGGUAUGAUACUCGCCCGAGAUUCGAUCGUCGGUAUCCCGAUACCUUGUUCAAUCUCGUUACCGGCAAGUAUCUUUACUCGUUCCAUAACACAUCAUCCCGUGAUCAACUCCUUGAUCACAUUGUGCACAUUAUGAUGAUGUCCUACCGAGUGGGCCCAGAGAUACCUCUCCGUCACACGGAGUGACAAAUCCCAGUCUCGAUUCGUGCCAACCCAACAGACACUUUCGGAGAUACCCGUAGUGUACCUUUAUAGCCACCCAGUUACGUUGUGACGUUUGGCACACCCAAAGCACUCCUACGGUAACCGGGAGUUGCACAAUCUCAUGGUCUAAGGAAAUAUUGACAUUAGAAAAGCUUUAGCAUACGAACUACAUGAUCUAGUGCUAUGCUUAGGAUUGGAUCUUGUCCAUCACAUCAUUCUCCUAAUGAUGUGAUCCCGUUAUCAACGACAUCCAAUGUCCAUGGUCAGGAAACCGUAACCAUCUAUUGAUCAACGAGCUAGUCAACUAGAGGCUUACUAGGGACAUGGUGUUGUCUAUGUAUCCACACAUGUAUCUGAGUUUCCUAUCAAUACAAUUCUAGCAUGGAUAAUAAACGAUUAUCAUGAACAAGGAAAUAUAAUAAUAAUCAAUUUAUUAUUGCCUCUAGGGCAUAUUUCCAACAGUCAGAUUGUUCGGUGUUGGGCAGUGCGGUUGAGUCCGGGCUGUUAUUGCCGGGUUCCCCUUCCCAUACUACGGACGGCUUGAAUAGCCUUUCCAAGAAGAUGUUGGGAGGGACUGCAUCGCGUUUUGCGCCGAUGCGUGCCAGGACAUCCGCCGCCUGAUUAUUUUCCCGGGCUAUAUGGUGAAAUUCGAGCCCUUCGAACUGAGCUGACAUUUUUAAGACGAUGUUGCGAUAAGCUGCCAUUUUUGGAUCCUUGGCAUCGAAGUCUCUGUUUAUUUGGGACAUUGCGAGGUUCAAAUCCCCUCGCACUUCUAGGCGUUGAAUACCCAUGGAUACUGCCAUCCAGAGACCAUGUAAGAGGGCCUCGUAUUCGGCUGCAUUGUUGGAGUCUGUGUACAUAAUCUGGAGUACAUAUUGAACUGUGUCUCCUGUGGGGGACGUCAAAACGACGCCAGCCCCCAGACCGGCCAACAUUUUGGAGCCGUCGAAAUGCAUGAUCUAGUUUUAAUAUGUGCCGUACUCUUCAGGGAGUUCGGCCUCCGUCCAUUCUGUGACGAAGUCAGCCAAAACUUGCGACUUGAUAGCUCGCCGUGGCUUAUAAGUUAUGUCGAACGGGAGGAGCUCGAUGGCCCAUUUCGCAAUCCGGCCCGUUGCGUUGCGGUUCUUUAUAAUAUCGUUUAGUGGUACUUCUGAGGCUACUAUUAUUGAACACUCUUGAAAGUAGUGUCGCAGCUUCCGGGAUGCCAUGAAUACCGCGUACGCAAUCUUUUGAUAAUGUGGGUACCUUGAUUUGCACGGAGUGAGGACAGUGGACACAUAAUAGACCGGCUUCUGAAGGGGGAAUUUGUGUCCGUCGUUUCUCGUUCGACGACGAGCACUGCGCUCAGAACCUGAUGGGUUGCUGCAAUGUAUAAUAGCAUUGGUUCGCCAAUGUUUGGCGCGGCCAGGACUGGGUUUGUUGCCAAUAUGGCUUUUAUUUCGUCGAGUCCGGCCGUGGCUGCGUCCGUCCACUCGAAGUGUUCGGUGCGCCUAAGGAGGCGGUAAAGGGGGAGUGCCUUUUCUCCCAAGUGGGAGAUAAAGCGGCUUAGAGCCGCCACACAUCCGGUUUACUUUUGUAUUUGUUUGAGGUCCUUUGGGAUAUUCAAUUGUGACAGAGCUCGGAUCUUGGCUGGAUUUGCUUCAAUUCCUCUACCGAAUACAAUGAAGCCCAAGAGCUUUCCGGCUGGAACGCCGAAAACGCAUUUUUCUGGGUUGAGCUUGAUGUCGUAUGUUCGGAGGUUAUCAAAUGUGAGCCUCAAGUCAUCUACUAGGGAUUCGACAUGUCUUGUUUUUACGACCACAUCAUCUACAUAUGCCUCCACUGUUUUGCUGAUCUGGUUUGCCAGACAUGUCUGAAUCAUGCGCUGAUAUGUUGUUUUGAGCCCGAAGGGCAUUGUGUUGAAGCAGAAUGGGCCGUAUGGUGUGAUCAAUGUCGUUGCGGCUUGGUCUGAUUCUGCCAUCUUGAUUUGAUGGUAGCCGGAAUAUGCGUCGAGCAAGCACAACGAAUCGUGUCCUGCAGUAGCGUCGAUAAUUUGAUCCAUGCGGGGGAGGGGAAAGGGAUCCUUUGGGCAAGCCUUAUUAAGGUCUUUAAAAUCAACGCACAAGUGCCAGGAUUUGUCCUUCUUUGGUACCAUCACUAGGUUUGCUAGCCAGUCCGGAUGUUUUAUAUCUCUGAUGGAUCCGGCCUCUAAUAGCUUGGCUAGCUCCUCUCCCAUGGCCUGUCUCUUAGGUUCGGAAAAACGCCGAAGAGCCUGUUUGACAGGUUUGAAUCCUUUAGGAUAUUUAAGCUGUGUUCGGCCAGCCUGCGUGGGAUUCCUGGCAUGUCUGAAGGGUGCCAGGCGAAAAUGUCCUAGUUCUCACGUAGGAACUCUCGCAGUGCGGCGUCUACAUCAGGGUUUAAUUGUGCACCGAUGGAAGCUGUUUUAUUGGGGUCCGUUGGAUGGACCUGGAAUUUGACUAUUUUGUCCGCUGGUUUAAAUGAGAUGGACUUGGAUCUUUUGUCGAGUAUCACAUCAUCCCUGUUCACCGUGGAGCGCAGCGCAGUCAGCUCCUCAGCCGCUAGGGCUUAGGAUAGUGCCUCAAGGGCCAGUGCGGCUGUCUUAUUUUAGGCGCGGAGUGCUAUGUCCAGAUCACUAGCGAGAGUGAUGAUUCCGUUCGGCCCGGGCAUCUUGAGUUUCAUGUACCCAUAAUGGGGUAUUGCUUGGAAGAUUGUGAACGCUUCCCGCCCUAGCAGAGCGUGGUAUCCGCUACUGAACGGGACCACUUGGAACGUGACCUCCUCGGACCUGUAAUUAUCCGGCGUGCCGAACACCACAUCUAGUGUGAUUUUUCCUGUACAGCACGCUUCCUGACUGGGGAUUAUUCCUCUAAAGGUUGUGCUGCUUCGCUCAAUGCGGUUCCAGUCUAUUUCUAGUUUUUGAAGGGUUUCCUCAUAAAUGAGGUUCAAUCCGCUGCCUCCAUCCAUGAGUACCUUGGUAAGGCGAAAGCCAUCCACUAUUAGACUGAGGACCAAUGUGGCUGGUGCUCGGGCUGUUCGGAAUUUAGGUUCAUCACUGGCAUUAAAAGUAAUAGCCGUGUCACUCCAUGGGUUUAUUGUUGCUACUUGGUAGACUUCGACAAGGCUGCGGAGUGUUCUUUUUCGCAUAUUAUUUGAUGCGAAAGUCUCGAAGACUGUUAAUACCGUACCGGUAUCCCUGGGGUGGCUUUCUAUGGCCUCCGGAAUUAGGAGAUCUUCACCAAUUUUGGCCACCUGCCGGAGUAUCCAACAUGCUCUAAGGCUGUGAGUUGGUGUGGCGCCCUCUGUACUAUGAAUUUUACAGGGUCGAUUAAGCCAUCCUUCCAAUAUGCUUCCAUGCCCUGUAGAGGGUUUUUGCUUUUUGGUGUUUAACCGGGUGUCUGGCGAAGAUGCACCCUUUUAUUUCGGACUGGGUUUGUAUUCAGGGCCGGAUUGUCCCAAAAUUUUAUUUCGGUUUUCCAGGCGCUAUCCAUCGCACAGUACUUUCGUACUAUGGACACCAAGUCAGCGAAGCAUGUAAUAUCACGGCGACUUAUGGCGUUGAGGAUUCCCUUGUCCAUGCAAUUAUUGCAGAAGAAUGAGAUUGCGUCUUCCUCGCGGCAGUCCUUGAUCCUGUUCAUAGCCAGGAGGAAUCUGGCCCAGUAAUGAUGUACUGUUUCUUUGGGUUUUUGCCUAAUUUGGGAUAGAUCGCUUAUGUUCGGGUGGGUGGGUGGAAUUAAAUCCGAAACCUGACCCGAUCUGAGACUCAGAGGCCAAGGAGAUUCCGAACUCGGAAGUUUGGAUUCUUGGAUGUUGUCCAAUGAGUCUAGCCCGUCGCCUGACUCUAAGUUCAGGUCUUGAGUGAUGUCCUCCCCUCCGCGGGUAUCCGACUUGGAGGGAUCGGGAAUCCGGACAUAACUAGUCCUUAAGAUAGAUGAAGGGUCACCGCACUGUCCCUCUACCAUAGCAAUGUGAUGGGUGACCUGGGGAGAGUUAAUCUCUCUUAGAUCGGGUUUAGGCCCAAUCUGGUCAUAAUCCGUGGCAACUCCCAGGGCGGCGACGCGAUCCAAGAGCUCGUUUAUGGAAGAGAGCUCCAUUGUAUCUAACUGCUCGGCGAGUUCCGAGAUGACAUGAAGACUGCUUUUGAUGACCCGAGAGGUCAUCGUCGGCGCAGCAGCCGAACAGGCGGUCAUAAGAAAACCGCCUAGCCGGAGAGUUUGGCCGACAGCCAAAGCUCCCUUAGCAACGGUUCCGUCUUUAAAGACGGGAUGAGGCAUCCUUCCUGAUGGCGACGGCACAGAGGAACUCUCAAUGUAAGCACCAAUAUCGGUGUCAAAACCGGCGGAUCUCGGGUAGGGGGUCCCGAACUGUGCGUCUAGGCGGAUGGUAACAGGACACAAGGGACACGAUGUUUACCCAGGUUCGGGCCCUCUCGAUGGAGGUAAAACCCUACUCCUGCUUGAUUAAUAUUGAUGAUAUGGGUAGUACAAGAGUAGAUAUACCACGAGAUCAAGGAGGCUAAACCCUAGAAGCUAGCCUAUGGUAUGAUUGUUGUUGUCCUACGGACUAAAACCCUUCGGUUUAUAUAGACACCGGAGAGGGUUAGGGUUACACAGAGUCGGUUACAAUGGUAGGAUAUCUACAUAUCCGUAUCGCCAAGCUUGCCUUCCACGCCAAGGAAAGUCCCUUCCGGACAUGGGACGAAGUCUUCAAUCUUGUAUCUUCAUAGUCCGGGAGUCCGGCUGAAGGUAUAGUCCGGCUAUCCAGACACCCCCUAAUCCAGGACUCCCUCACCCAGGUUUUCAGCCAAGAUUAUAACUAACCAUGUCGACAAUAACUCUUAAACAUUAUAGUAACUCUUAUGAGUAGAGGCCGCGGGAAAAAGCCUAGUAGUAGCGCGGAUAAAAGACUAGUAGUAGUGCGGGUGCCCGUGCUACUACUAUGGCGCUACAGCUAACUCGUAGUAGUAGCGCAGGUGCCACCCGUGCUACUAGUACGUGUGUUAGUAAUAGCGCGGAUUCUACACACGCUACUACUAACUAUGUGUAGCGCCUGUCUGUGACCCGCGCUACUACUAUUAAUUUCAAAAACCAAAAAAAAAUCUCGACCCCGUGCAUGUUGUCAAUGGUGUCAUCCAGCGACGACAGGGGUUGCCGGAGGUGUGGACGGGUAGUGGCAGACCAGAUCCGGCGAUGGCUGUUGGAGAUGGCCGGAUCCAGUGUAGAGCAAGACGACGGUGUGAGGAUCCUCUUCGCGGUCAAGGCGGAGAACUCCUGGUUGGCCAUGUCGACGACCUGUGCAGGCAUGGGCAUGGGAGGUGAGUAAAACCAAAGGGAGAGGGAGAGGAGAGGGAGAGGGAAAAAGAGAAACAAGGGAGAAAGGAAGGAGAUGGAGGGCGUAUCGGGGCUGCAUGGAGGCGAGGAGGAAGACGGGCGAGCUCUUGGACGCCAGCGAUGCGAGGAGGAAGACGUUGGGUGCCAUGGAGGAGGAGAUGUUCUUGGGCAGGAGCACCAUGGAGAGAGGGGGAAAGUGAGGGAGAGAGGAGGAAAGUGAGAGAGGGGGAAAGUGAGGGAGAGAGGAGGGAUUCGGCCGAGGAUAUGGAGAUUUCAUCUACCUCGUACUUAGUAGUAGCGAGGGGUAUAAAACCGCACUACUACUAUCAACAUAGUAGUAGCAUGGGUUUGUACCCCUCGCUACUACUAUGGCAUGUCCCGGGAGGGCAUGGUAGACACCGCUUAGUAGUAUCGAGGGUGAAAAACCCGCGCUAAUAGUAUCAACUUAGUAGUAGCGAGGGGUAAAAACCCACGCUACUAGUAAGUAGCAGUAGCGACGGUUAUAAACCCGCGCUACUAGUAAGCGUCUGCCUAUAAGCUUUUCCCUAGUAGUGGCAUAUCUAUGACAUAAUCAACUAGCGAGCAAUAAUAAGAUAUCUCAAACAACAACACGUUGUGAAAACAACCAUGAUAUAAUAUGACAAUAGUGGUAUCUCGCUAGCCCUUUCUAAGACCGCAAAACAUAAAUGCAGAGCACCUCCAAAGUUCAAGCAGCGACUAAACAUUGUAAUUCAUGGUAGAAAAGAUCUAGUCUUGAUGCACCCAACAUUAGCAACACAUAGUGCAUCAGCAUGACAACAGUGCUCUUUGGAUUUGGCACUUAUUUUAGAAGGUGAUGACACAACAUAAAAGUAAAUAGAUAGUCCCUUCGCAGAGGGAAGCAGUGAUUUGCAGCUGUGCCAGAGCUCAAAAUUUUAAAACAGAGGUAAAUGAAAUUUUGGGAAAUUGAUACGUAUCCAAUGUAUCUAUAAUUUUUUAUUGUUCCAUGCUAUAUUAUAUUAUGUUUUGGAUGUUUAAUAGGCUUAUUUAUACACUUUUAUAUUAUUUUUGGGACUAACCUAUUAACCGGAGGCCCAGCACAAAUUGCUGUUUUUGUUCCUACUUCAGUGUUUCGCAAAAAAAAGAAUAUCAAAUGGAGUGCAAACGGAAUGAAACCUUCGGGAACAUGAUUUUUGAAACAAAUGUGAUCCAGAGGACUUGGAGUCCAUGUCAAGCAGUCAACGAGGAGGGCACGAGGCAGGGGGCGCUCCUACCUCCCCCUAGGCGCGCCCUCCACCCUCAUGGGGCCCACGUUGCUCCACCGGCGUACUUCUUCCUCCUAUAUAUACCUACGUACCCCCAAACCAUCAGGGGCAUCCACGAAAACCUAAUUCCACCGCCGCAACCUUCUGUACACGUGAGAUCCCAUCUUGGGGCCUUUUCCGGCAUCCUGCCGGAGGGGGCAUUGAUCACGGAGGGCUUCUACAUCAACACCAUAGCCACUCCGAUGAUGUGUGAGUAGUUUACCUUAGACUUUUGGGUCCAUAGUUAUUAGCUAGAUGGCUUCUUCUCUCUCUUUGGAUCUCAAUACAAAGUUCUCCACGAUUCUCGUGGAGAUCUAUUCGAUGUAAUCUUCUUUUGCGGUGUGUUUGUCGGGACCGAUGAAUUAUGGAUUUAUGAUCAAGUUUAUCUAUGAACAAUAUUUGAAUAUCCUCUGAAUUCUUUUAUGUAUGAUUGGUUAUCUUUGCAAGUCUCUUCGAAUUAUCAGUUUGGUUUGGCCUACUAGAUUGAUCUUUCUUGCAACGGGAGAAGUGCCUAGCUUUGAGUUCAAUCUUGUGGUGUCGUUUCCCAGUGACAGCAGGGGCAGCAAGGCACGUAUUGUAUUGUUGCCAUCGAGGAUAACAAGAUGGGGUUUAUAUCAUAUUGCAUGAGUUUAUCUCUCUACAUCAUGUCAUCUUGCUUAAAGCGUUACUCUGUUCUUAUGAACUUAAUACUCUAGAUGCAUGUUGGAUAGCGAUCGAUGUGUGGAGUAAUAGUAGUAGAUGCAGGCAGGAGUCGGUCUACUUGUCACGGACAUGAUGCCUAUAUACAUGAUCAUACCUAGAUAUUCUCAUAACUAUGCUCAAUUCUAUCAAUUGCUCGACAGUAAUUUGUUCACCCACCGUAAUACUUAUGCUUUUGAGAGAAGCCACUAAUGAAACAUAUGGCCCCCGGGUCUAUUUUCCAUCAUAUUAAUCUUCCAACACAUAGCCUUUUCUAUUGCCCUUUUUAUUUUACUUUGCAUCUCUAUUUCUCUUUAUCAUAGAAAUACUAAAAAUAUUAUCUUAUCAUAUCUAUCAGAUCUCACUCUCGUUAGUGACCGUGAAGGGAUUGACAACCCCUUUAUCGCGUUGGUUGCGAGGUUCUUAUUUGUUUUGUGUAGGUGCGUGGGACUUGAGCGUGGCCUCCUACUGGAUUGAUACCUUUGUUCUCAAAACUGAGGGAAAUACUUACGCUACUUUGUUACAUCACCCUUUCCUCUUCAAGGCAAAAAACAACGCAAUGCUCAAGAGGUAGCAAGAAAGAUUUCUGGCGCCGUUGCCGGGGAGUUUACGCAAAAGUCAACAUACCAAGUACCCAUCACAAACUCUUAUCCCUUGCAUUACAUUAUUUGCCAUUUGCCUCUCGUUUUCCUCUCCCUCGCUUCACCCUUGCCGUUUUAUUCGCCCUCUUUUCCGCUCGCCUUUCCUUCGCCAUGUCGGAACCAAAAAGAGUUGGGGGUUCUCUCCCGAGUUUUAGUACUUUGGACGAUCCUUCUAUUCUAUCUAAACUCAUAAAUAAUGUCAUGGUAAAACCUGCCGGAGUUGUCAAUGAGAGUCUUAAUAAUUUUGAUGAAGAUGAUUCCGGAAUUUUUCGUUAUUUACUCGAUGAAUCUUUGAAAGAUGCUUGGGAUAGACUGUUAAGGAUCCGGGCUAACUAUGUGCCCCAAUACCAAAUUGUAGUUUACUUGAAGAGCUUUUAUGUUGCCCUACCUUCUUCGUUUAAGCAUGUCUUAGAUUCUAUAUUUGAAGAAGGCUUUCUUGAAGGGGAUGCCGUAGAUACUUAUGAAAAGAUGAAGACCAUAUUCGGGCACCCCAUGAAUGAGAAAAUUGAAUCUACAUCUCUUUUGCUCUCCAGUCCUUGGUUCAUGUAAAUCUGAAUCUAGCCGGCACUACCCCUUCACAAGCUGUUGCAUAGUCUUCAGCGAGGUGCGGCAUAACUUCCGUGUGAGGGGAAAUGAACUUCUCCAUGAAUACCUUCUCUCUCACCUUGAAAGCGGUAUAGUAGUAGCCUGGGUUGCACUUGAGCAAUCCAUUUUCCAUGAGAAACUUUACAACGUAGUACCUGGGUUUCAUCCAGCCCUCCAGCUUGUAAUUGAUAAUUAUUGACCGUUGAGCAACGUAGGUAGGUUCCAACCUGUUAGACUAUGUAUAGCUUCUGUACCUAUGUACGUAUAUGGUACAUAUUGUAACACAACCAUUAUAUAUAAUGAGAUAAGCCACCCCUAGAGGGUUGUGCUGGUUCCCCAAAACUUAUUGUCUUACAUGGUAUCACGCUAGGUUACGAUCGCUUCCGCUUCUAAACCCUAAUACCCGCACCGCCGCCGCAGCCGCCGCCGCCUUCACCGCCGCCGCCGCGCCACCGAUCGCGCCGCCGCCAUGUCGAGCGCUGCCACCACCGGUUCCACUGCUGCGGGCUUCCUCCCGGCCUCUCUUGCGGCUCUGCUCAACCUCCCGCUCGAUGCCGUCUCUGUUCCGGCUCCGAUCGGGACAAGGAGCAUCGGCUCCGUCUUCUCCAUGCCGCCGGCGCCCUCGCUUGGGCGUGACCUCGUGGUCCACACCGCGGCGCCGCCGUCCGCUGCGGACUCCGCAGGCAUCGUCCCGCCGCUCCUGCCGCAAGCGGAUCACACUGCCCCGCUGGCGGGGUUGGCGGCGUCCGCCCCGGCCGCGGGCCUUGCGGCGUCCGCACCGGCCGCGAGCUUUGCGGCGCCCGCCCUGGCUGCGGUCCCGCCUCCUCCCGCAUCGGCUUCGGUGCCUCCAGCUGCCUCCAUGGUGUUUGCACCCCAGGCAGCCUCCUCGAUGGGAUUGUCUUCGCCGCUGCCGUUUCACUUCGGUCAUCUCAUCACCAUCAAGCUCUCCGCCGACAACUACAUCUUCUGGCGUGCGCAGGUUCUCCCGCUCUUGGGGAGUCACUACCUGCUAGGCUACAUCGACGGAUCGCUUCCCUGCCCACCCGCGCUGGUAGACAGCAUGCACGGUCCGGUCUACAAUCCGGCCCAUCGCGUCUGGACGGGGCAGGACCAGGCGAACCUCUCCUCCAUCCAGGGGUCGCUCUCGCCGGCAGUUGUCGGCCUUGUUGUCUUCGCGAAGACGUCUCAUGAGGCCUGGACCAUCCUUGAGCACACCUUUGCAGCGCAGUCCCAGGCUCGUGUCUCUGCACUCCGUCGUCAGCUUGGAGAGUGUCAGAAGCUUGACUCCACUGCCACUGAGUUCUACAACAAGGUCAAGGGCCUCGCCGACACAUUGGCCUCCAUUGGACAGCCCCUCACCGACUCCGAGUUCAACUCGUUUAUUGUCAAUGGUCUUGAUGAGGAGUAUGAUGCCUUAGUCGAGAUCAUCAACGAGCGGGGCAACUCGACACCCAUGCUGGCACACGAGGUUUUCUCUCGGCUCCUUCUCACUGAGCAACGGGUCGAGACUCGCCGCACCAGGGGCACUGGCUCCCUCUCGGCCAACGCCGCCACCAAGGGUGGCCGCUCUUCUUCAUCACCCCGGUCUCCCUUGGGGCUGCCACCGUCGCCCUCCUCGGCCCCCCACCUACUGCGACCUUACCGGGGGCUGGCGUUCCACGUGUGUGUCAGCUUUGUGGCCGCGAUGGGCACUGGGCCUCCAAGUGUCAUAAGCGCUUCCAGCGAAGCUUCCUUGGUCUUGGCAAUGACGGCAAAGAUACACGCAACAAUGCCCGUCAGGUCGCCAUGGCUGAUCGUCCCGCGCCGCAGAAGCAACAGGGACACACUCAGUCCUACUCCAUCGAUCCACACUGGUACAUGGACUCUGGGGCGAUAGAGCAUCUAACCAGCGAGAUGGGGAAGCUUCACACUCGUGAACCCUAUCAUGGCUCCGACAAGAUCCACACCGCCAAUGGAGCAGGUAUGCACAUCUCUCAUAUUGGUCAAGCAUCUCUUCUCACUAGACAUGCCAAUAGGAGUCUUCAGCUUCGCAAUGUUCUUCGAGUUCCAUCUGUGACCCGUAAUCUUCUUUCAGUUCCUAAACUCACACGUGAUAAUAAUGUGCUUUGUGAAUUUCACCCUUUUGAUCUUUUUAUUAAGGAUCGGGGCACGAGGGACAUUCUUCUUAGUGGGCGGUUGUGCCAGGGCCUCUACCGUCUGGAGCAUCCUGGUGUCGCUCGUGUUUUCAGUGGAGUUCGGGUCUCUCCGUCACAGUGGCAUGCUCGUCUUGGUCACCCGGCCACACCUAUUGUCCGUCAUAUUUUGCGUCGUCAUGAGCUUCCUAGUUUGUCUAGUCAUAAAGAUGUAGCAGUGUGUGAUGCUUGUCAGCAGGGGAAGAGUCAUCAACUUCCUUUUUCGGAGUCCAGUCGUGAGGUGAAACAUCCUUUAGAACUUGUGUUUUCAGAUGUAUGGGGUCCUGCUCAGACUUCUGUCAGUGGUCAUAAUUACUAUAUCAGUAGUCGCUUUACCUGGCUUUACCUUAUUAAACGCAAAUCUGAUGUGUUUGAUAUUUUUGUUCAGUUUCAAAAACAUGUUGAACGUCUUCUCAAGCACAAAAUUGUUCAUGUCCAGUCAGACUGGGGGGGCGAGUAUCGCAACCUCAACUCUUUCUUUCAGUCGCUUGGGAUAGCUCAUCGUUUAGCAUGUCCACAUACACAUCAGCAGAAUGGUUCAGUCGAACGUAAGCAUCGUCAUAUUGUUGAAGCUGGUCUUACUCUUUUGGCCCAUGCAUCUAUUCCGUUUCGGUUUUGGAGUGAUGCUUUCACCAUUGCAUGCUUUCUCAUCAACCAUACUCCUACUCGUGUUUUAAACAUGAAGACUCCCAUUGAGGUUCUCCUUAAUGAACAACCUGAUUAUACCUUUCUCAAGGUAUUUGGGUGUGCUUGCUGGCCGCAUCUUCGUCCAUAUAACAAGCGCAAGCUUGAGUUUCGUUCUAAGAAGUGUGUUUUUCUUGGCUAUAGCUCUCUUCAUAAAAGUUACAAAUGUCUUCAUGUUCCCACUAAUCGUGUCUAUAUAUCUCGGGACGUCGUGUUUGAUGAGCAUGUUUUUCCCUUUGCCAACCUUCCUGUGUCCACUGUCGAACCACCAUCCCUGCAUUCAUCCUCUGUUGCUUCUGACCAAUUUGAUGAUGUUGCAUACUCUCCUUUGCUGUUACCUAACCAUCUCCACUGCUCGGUCCGUUUCGCCAGCGGCCGCCGAGUCGCCCGCGACUCGGCCCGUCACGCCGUCUUCGCCUGCGGCUCGGCCCGUCACGCCGUCUUCGCCCGCGGCUCGGGUCCUCAUGUCGCCUUCAUCAGCGGAUCGGCCUGCGACACCGGCCGCGCCACGGCCCACUAUGCCGAGCUCGCCAUCGGCCCGGUCUGUGAUGCCGGAGUCGCCAGCUGCUUCGUCUGCUCUGCCGGUUUCGCCGGUGGGUCGGCCUUCUUCGCCAACCGAGUCCGAGGCUACCGUGACUGGCUCCUCGUCACCGGCUGACUCGUCAACGUCGCCGUCCUCCAGCCCGUUGCAGGCUGCUCCGUCGACCUCGGUGGUUCCUGUGUCCCGACCACAUACAUGCAGUCGCAGUGGCAUUUUCAAACCUAAGGAACGUAAGGAUGGUACGGUUGCUUGGUUGGCUGCUUGUUUGGCUGCUGCUGUUGCGGAUCCAUCUUCUGAGCCUCGCUCAUAUCAGGCUGCCCUGCGCAUUCCACAUUGGCGAGAGGCUAUGGAGCAGGAGUUUCAUGCUCUUCUUCGUAACAAGACAUGGACUCUCGUUCCUCCACCACCACGGGUAAAUGUUAUUGAAUCAAAAUGGGUAUUCAAAGUGAAGAAGCAUUCGGAUGGAUCUAUUGAGCGUUACAAAGCGCGACUUGUUGCUCGCGGUUUUCGGCAGCGUCAUGGUCUUGACUAUGAGGACACCUUCAGUCCUGUCGUCAAGCCUACCACUAUUCGACUUCUUCUCUCCAUUGUUGUUUCUCGUGGUUGGUCACUUCGUCAACUUGAUGUGCAGAAUGCUUUUCUACAUGGAUUUUUGGAGGAAGAGGUUUAUAUGAAACAGCCGCCUGGUUUCUCUGAUCCUGAUCGUCCUGACUAUAUCUGUCGUCUUUCCAAAGCACUAUAUGGUUUGAAGCAAGCUCCUCGUGCCUGGCAUGCCUGCCUUGCCUCUGCCCUUCGUGCUCAUGGGUUUGUGCCGUCUACUGCUGACACUUCGUUAUUUCUUCUACAGAAGCCAGAAGUCACUAUGUAUCUUUUGGUAUAUGUCGAUGAUAUUAUCCUUGUCAGCUCUUCUCAGUAUGAUGCUGAUGCUCUUGUCUGCUCUCUUGGUGCUGAUUUUGCGGUCAAAGAUCUUGGGAAGCUUCACUACUUUCUUGGAGUUGAGGUCACUUCUCGUGCUACUGGUCUUGUCCUUACGCAGAAGAAGUACUCCUUGGAGUUGUUACAGAGAGCUGGCAUGCUGAAGUGCAAACCGACCACCACACCCAUGUCGUCUACCGACAAGAUAACAGCUGCUGAUGGUGAGCUUUUGUCUCCUGCGGAUGCCACAGAGUACAGGAGCAUUGUUGGUGGACUUCAGUACUUGACGAUCACGAGACCAGAUAUCUCUUAUGCUGUUAACAGGGUUUGUCAGUAUCUUCAGGCUCCCAGAGAUACUCAUUGGGCUGCUGUUAAACGCAUUCUUCGUUAUGUUCAGUUCAUCCUGACAUUUGGUAUGCAUAUUCGGCCGACUUCCUCUCGGGUCCUUUCGGCCUUCUCUGAUGUAGAUUGGGCUGGUAGCCCAGAUGACAGACGAUCCACGGGGGGUUAUGCAGUAUUCUUUGGCUCUAAUUUGAUCGCCUGGAGUGCUCGGAAACAAGCUACUGUGUCACGUAGCAGUACUGAAGCUGAGUACAAGGCUGUGGCUAAUGCUACUGCAGAGAUUAUUUGGGUGCAGUCUUUGCUUCAGGAGUUGGGUUUGUCUCAACCACAGCCUCCUAUUCUUUGGUGUGAUAACAUCGGUGCUACAUACCUUUCUGCAAAUCCAGUAUUUCAUGCCCGAAUGAAACACAUUGAAGUUGACUAUCACUUUGUACGGGAACGUGUAUCACAGAAGCAACUCCAGAUCAAGUUUAUCUCAUCUAAGGAUCAACUUGCAGACAUCUUCACUAAGCCUUUACCGCUGCCACAGUUUGAGGCUUGUAGGCGCAAUCUUACCCUUCUCAGUUCUUUAGAAAGUGGCUAAGAUUGAGGGAGGGUGUUAGACUAUGUAUAGCUUCUGUACCUAUGUACGUAUAUGGUACAUAUUGUAACACAACCAUUAUAUAUAAUGAGAUAAGCCACCCCUAAAGGGUUGUGCUGAUUCCCCAAAACUUAUUGUCUUACACAACCCCACCUCAGAGAUGAGGAAAUCAGACCUGCGCUGCAGUAAUUCCUUUGACUUCCUCAGCAGACACGGAGCGUUACACACAACAAUGCUCACCUCAGCGUCUGACCACCUGAACAUCUUCUUCAAGUAGGCCACAUUGGCGGCGAUCUUCUCCUCGCUGAGGAAUCUGACAGUAUCCAGCGUGUGCCUGAACAUCCUGAGCCACGAGGCAUGCCAAGGCCUUCGGCGCAUGCCACCAUCGCCCUGACGUGUUCUGGCUUGUUGCUCAGGACACCCCGCGCGCGGAGGGACAACUUGGUGAUAUCGCAAUCAUCUAGCCCGCAUUGCCGUAGGAGCGCGACGUUGGGUUUGACCAUCUCCUCGAUGCUGUGUUUUGGUUUUCGGUUUGCGUUUUUUCUCGCCCCUGAACGAGAUGGCCGAAAUUCGGCCAUUUCAAAAAUCUCGGUAAAAUCUCGGACGAAAUUACAAAACCAAAAUUUGAAUUUUAAACGAAAUUUGACUAAAAAUUGGCCGAAAUUCGGCCGAAUUUUUUGAAAACAAGCAGAGCAAAUGUACAGCAGUCGAACAACACUGAGGAGUACAUGUAUGCGUUACCAAACUAGCUUUGGGGAUUAAUAACUCCAAAAGAAAAGAUUGAAACAAGGAUACAGAGAGGUGAUCCAGAGUUGAGGAGUUCCCGAUGGAUUCAGCCGCAGCCCGCAGCCGGCAGAGGUCAGCAGCAGGGGCCGGUCGUAGGAACGGCGAGAACGGGGUAGGAGCCGCAUGCUCGAGCGGGGAGGCAGGUGCCGACGAGCGGAGGAGCCGCGUAUUGGCGCAUCGCCGCCGCCGCAAACACAGGGGCCGCAGGGGAUCGUGGUUAGUUUAGGGUUCACGAGUUCGGUUCGAUGCUUUUAAUCCAGGCAAACCGUGGGGAGGCCCAGAAGUUGGACUGGGCCAGAAAAAAGUUUCAAUCUGGGCCGAAAGUUUUGGCCGGCACAGACAUUUACCGGGUCGAGGCGAGAUGACCGAAAUUCGGCCGAAAAUUGUUUUUUUCGGCCGAAAAUCAAAACACAGCCUCGAUGUCAGCGCCGGCGAGGUAGCCUUGCUUGAGCACCCGGAAGAGGUUCUCCGAGGAGCCGAAUAGGAGCAGGUAGUACCGCAAAUUGGAAACAAUGGACCUGGAACAGAAGUGGGCGAAGGAGAGCGCGACGAGGCGCACGAUCUCAGUACGCGAGAGGCCGAGGCCGGUGAGCCCACGACGACGGGGGCUAGAGUUUUCUCUACUUUGGCGCAGAGGAACAACGGGUCCUUGGCGACGAGGGCGGCGACGUCGGUGCCGGAGAGGCCGAGGCCGGCGAGGAAGGAAAGGACGGCGUCGGGCUUGGACGAGGACUUGAGGUGGGAGAGCUUGGCGGAGGCCUUGAGUGCCUGGGGUCGGGUGAGGCCGAAGGUGGAGACGAGGUAGUCGUCGACGACGAAGCUAGGGUUUGGGGAAACGCCGGGCGCGGCGGCCGCGGAGAGGGGGCGGUGGAGAGGGGGGCCUGAGAGGUGGCGGGGGAAGAGAGGAGCCGCACGAGGAUGCAGCCACGGAGGCGGAGCAUGGCGGCGGCGGCGGCGGAGAGAUUGAUUCCCUAUGGAGGCGGGUGCGAAUGGGAUGGUGCUUCGGAGGCGGGGAUGCGGCGCCCCGGCGAGGCAGGUGAGGAACGGAGGAAGAGAACAGGAGGAGAGAUCGAAGAGGAUGGCACUUCGGCGGCGGCGGCGGCGCCGCCGAAGAGAUUUUCCGGUCCGCUGUGAGUGGAGAGGAAAAAUGGGAAAUGGCAGGUGCGAUGCGAAUGGAGGCUCCGCAAAUUGCAAUAUCACUGAAUCCCAGGGGUCUUUACGUCUUUCAAAAAUACAAAAUACAUUUAAAAAAACAUACAUAAUACAUUGAGCCUCAUGGAAACUUUCAUAUACACAUGGAAAAUAGAUAUCCCCUCCGUUUAAUAAUGUAGUGCAUAUAGAUUUUUGAAAGUCGGACUUUGCAAAUUAUGAUCAAAUUUAUAAAGCGAACUACUUAUACCUACAUUAUCAAAUAUAUAAAAUAUGAACCUACGUCUUAUGAUGAAUCUAAUGAUAUAUGCUUGACAUUCUAGAUGUAAAUGUUUUUCUUCACAAACUUGGUCAAAUUUUGUUAGAUUUGACUUUUCAAAAAAUCUACAUGCAAUCAUUAUGCAAUCGGUAUUAUAAGGAAAAUGACUUUGAGCGAUAAGAUUAUAUCACAAAAUAAGCUAUUAUACGACUUGUACUUAUCCUAUGAUUUUUUUCUGUAGGUAUAGUACUUCAUCCGUUUUUAUUUACUUUGCAUAUUAGAGUUGACUGAAGUCAAACUUUGUAAAGUUUGACCAAGUUUAUAGAAAAGAAUAUAAAUAUUUACCCUAACAAACGAAAAUCUGCAUCUGAGCCCGGGCUCAGAUGUUCCCGCUCAGAAAAAAAUUCAAAACAAAUUCUAGAAAAAUUCAAAUAAAUCCAAUUUUUUGUGUGGUAGAUAAUUUGAUGCGUGAGGCCCGCUUCAAAUUUCAACUCAUUUGGAUAUCUGAGGAGCUCUCGGCAAAAAAGACAAAUCGGAUCAAAACAGUUCGUGAACAAUAAACUUUUUUACAGACCCGAUUUUGUCUUUUUGCAGAGAGCUGCUCAAAUGUCCAAACGAGUUGAAAUUUGCAGCAAACCUCACGCAUCAAAUUAUCUAUCACACAAAAAAUGGAAUUUUUUUGAUUUUUUCUAGUAUUUGUUUUGAUUUUUUUCGUCGGAGCGAGUGCAGUUGAGCCCGGGAGCCAAAUUGGCUUAUAUGAUGUGAAAGUAUGUUCAAUAAUGAAUGUAAUGGUAUUGAUUUGUUAUUGUACAUGUUAAUAUUUUUGACUAUAAACUUCGUCAAAAUUUAUAAAGCUUGACUUUGACCAAAACUAAUAUGCGGAAUAAAUAAAAACGGAGGGAGUAAAUGGCUAUGUUUUUUUUUGUACGUAGUAAAUGGUUACUUUUUCUGAUUUUUUUUAAAUGGUUAUGCUUGCUAACCAAUCCAAUUCAAAUUAUAUGUCGCUCAAACGGAUGUAUCUAAUUAAUAUGGAUCGGAUGGAGCAGAAAAGUUCAUAUGGAUAUAUAUUUUCUCAAAACUUGAAAGUAUGAUUUCUACAAGUAAAAAAAAAUCAUAUGUGAACUAUGUUUGUUUUUAGCAUUUUGUGUGCGUUCAUGUUUCUUUUUCUCUCUCUUCAUUCUAGCCUCUUUUCCUCCACCUCACUCUGUUCUCACAUUGACAUUGUUGCCUUUUUCAGUGGACUCCUACCUAUCUUUUCUAACUUUUGCAAGGUGAGAAUUGAGAAGGUUAUUAUUCUUUAGUUUUAUGUGUAUAGCUAUCCUAGAGUCGAGAUCAAUUGCAUCGUGUCCACUUAUCCUCUAUAACACUAAGCUUCCUAGUUUUAAAAAGCCCACACUCAAUUAAGGUCUCCAAUUAGAAUUGGAUCAUCCGAUUUUGAACGGGUCAACAAUUUCUCAAAGCUUCAUAAUCCAAUUUUUUUAUACUAUACCAUAUGCUUCCUAAUUUUUAAGGCCUCACAAUUAAUUAAGAUAUUCAAUAUAGAUUGAUCAUCCAAUUUUGACUGGGUCAACAAUUUCUCAACCUCUCCAAUUGAAUUCUUUUAAUUCACUAUAUUCCAAAAUUUUGAAUCUCUUUCAUUCAAUUGAGGUAUUCAAUUUUGAUUUGGUUGAAGAUUUUGAGUGGGCCAAUGAUUUUCAAAUCAAUCAGCUGCAACUGACCUAUAAAAACAUAUCAAUCCCAUGCACCCUUCCACCACAUAGAAAAAAGAAACGUCACCAUGUGAUAUUGUAGUAUCAAUAUAGUACAUGCAACCACCAACGCAGAAAUUUUUCCACAUAAAUAUAGGUUGGUUAGCGGAUGACACAGUCAUCUCCCCACCCGCCUAACUUAAUAUUCCAUCAGUUAUAAAAUAUGAAGGGUAUUAAUUUUGUAGAAAGUAAAACUUCUUUAACUUUGACCAAGUUCAGAGCAAAAAUAUCAACAUCCACAAUAUUAAACAAAAAAAGUAUGGAAAUUCAUUUCGUGAUGAAUCUAAAAAUACUGAUUUAAUCUUAUGAAUUUUGAUAUAUUUCUCUCAAAUUUGAAAAAACUUAAAAGGUUUGGCUUUUCAAAAAAAUACACCUUAUAUUAUGAAACAGAGUGAUUAGUUUCUUAAGAUACCCAAUAACAUGAACGGCGCAGCAAAGCGCGCAGAACCCUUCUAGUUAGUAGUAUAUCUAAGAACAAUUAGCAUCCCAUUGAUGAUCGAUAAACCUUCUUAGUCCAGCUAGUGGUUGGUUGUCUAGAGUAUAGCUGGCCAAAUGGGCCGGUUUUUUCGGGUCGGCCCGUGAGCACGCCGGCACGGCCCACCUUGGGCCAGGCACGGCACGGGCCAAACGAGCCAGGCCCAGCACGCGGCACGCCCUAGGCCGUGCCUGGGCUGGAGGCUGGGCAUGCGGGCCGGCACGGCACGGCCCGAUUAUGUUUUUUAUAUUUGUUAUACAUUUAUAUAUGAUCCAACAUGUAAAAAUAAGCUAAAAACGCUCAAUGCGUCAAAUAAUAGGCUAAAAAUAUGCGGCCCACCGUGCUAAAUGGGCCAACGUGCCGGCUCGUUUACUAACGGGCCGUGCCUGGGCCUGGGGGCGCAGCACGCGGGCCGGCACGGCACGGCACGUAUAGUAAUCGUGCCCUGGCGGACCGUGCCGGACCAGGCACGAUUAUGAUGGGCCGGGCCAUGCCGUGCCGGGCCAGCCCGUUUGGCUAGGUAUGGUCUAGAGAUCUAUAUGGAGUCAGUUGAGAUGGGAUGGUCAGCCAAGUGGGUUGAUCAAUGCUCCUCUUAAAAUUCGAAGCCUAAAGUAGAUGUGCUACUCGAGAAAUAAAAAGACCAACGUAGACCGUACCAACAUCUAAUAUUUGACGUCACAUUUAAAUUUGAUACUAUUCAUACCCAUAAUUGUCCCUUUGCUCAUCGAAUUAUGCAUCUUAUAUAAAUGUUGUAAAUGAUCAAUUUUUAUAAUAAUUUUAGGGUUGUAGUUCGGUGCAUAGGUAGCUCAGAGGAACCAUAGUCAUCGCUUCCUCUCCAAAAAAGCUUAGGGUUCCUAUGCCUCCCGCUGGCGCAGCUGCCGGUCCACCUCGUCUCCGGUGGCCCUAGGGUCAUGGGGACACGGUGAAUCUCAUCCCUUACCAGAGGGCUUCGUUUUUAGACGUUUCUUUGAAUUUUGUUAGGGUUGUGUCUUGCUAAUUAAGGAGGGCAAGACAACGACGGCUUCCUGAAGAUUGAAUAAGAUUCUCCCCGCCUAGCCCCCGUCUCGAUGGCGCAUCUAACAUCGUCGAAGAGUGUGUGGAGGUGUAUCUCCGCCAGAUCUCGCAGGAUUCGGUAGGUGGUUUGUCUUUGGUGGAUCUACUCGGACCCGGUCUUCGUUCGUCUACGUUUGUGUGUCGCUAGAUUGGAUCCUUCCGAUCUAUGGGUCUCUUCAUCGGCGGGGGUUGCUAUUCUAGUGCGCUGGUCCUACGAGGCCUUAGCACGACAAGUUCCCGACUGUGUACUACAAUAAGUUCUGCCCGGCUCCGGGGAGGGAAGGGCGAUGACGACGGUGCGUCUUCGGCUCGUUUUAAUGCUUGUAGUCUUUGCUAGAUGGUCUAAGGAUGAAUGUGAUUUUUAUUAUUCCUAUUGUUCAUUGUAUUGUCAUGAUUGAAAAUGAAUAUAUCAAAUGAUUUCUCAUAGAAAAGAAGCUCAUAAGAACCAUUAAAAGGACAAUCGUGUGGUCUCCCUAGACUUUUUUUUAGAAAAGGAGGAAGACCCCCGGCCUCUGCAUCUGAGCGAUGCAUACAACCACUUUAUUAAUUAUUCUCAAAAGACCUUACAAAGAAAUACAACAAUAAGUCUGAAGCCAUCAUCUAGGCAACAUCUGUUGCUACUCCUAUUCAUUUGAUGAAGGGAUGCUGAUAGUCUGGGCUUAAUACCAAACAGACCUCGCAGCCAAACCUAACAUCUAAGACCUGAGUUCCCAUCCAGGACGCCUGCCGGGUAUGGGUCACCCACCGGUCCGGCACACUCCUCAACAUGGACGCCUGCCGGGUAUGAGGCCGCCGCAGCCACCUGCCACCAAUCCAUCUUCAGAGAUGUAGUGUUGCAUCUACCUUGUCCGGUCUAGCUGCCGUCGACGCCACCACGAUGCCAGACAACGCCACCAUCCUGCGCUCGUCCAUCAACACACGCCCAGCAGCAAGAUCCCGCUGCUCUAUGCCCCUGAGACCCGCCAUUGUCGACGUAUCAGAUGCAACGCCGCUCCUCCUUCGCGAACACCACCUUCUACCACUGGUCCUAUCCCCUCCACCUGUAGAUCCUCUGAACUCCCAACCGAGCCCUAGUGCCCCUGACGACACCUCCAGGAAGGUCACGACGCAAAAAGCGCCGCUGCCGCCAGAUCCGAAAAGGAUUGAAGGUUUUCACCCGGCCGGGGAUCGGGGUGGAUAGAUUGGGCCCUCAGCUGCGCCUUCAUGAAGGAAAGCGGCACCCAUGAGCGUCGCCGCCGCCGGGCCGGCUAGACUGGCCAAGGUUUUCCCCGGACCCAAAGUACACCACCAGGGCUGACCACCACCGGAGCCUGCAGCCGUAAACCACCAGGACGACGACAGAGGCAGCAGGAGAAAGGGGAACCAUUAAAAGGACAAUCGUGUGGUCUCCCUAGAUGGUCCUUGGAGGGAGCGAUGCAAUUUCAUUUCCUUUUUAUUGCAUUCUCAUGGAUCUAUGGGAUACACAGAUUUGGAAUAGCCAUGCGUUAUAUAGGUUUGGAAAAGAUGAAUGGGCAGGACAAAGCCCAUCAAGGUCCACAGUUGGACAUGGUAUUUUUCUCUUCCCUGAUCUUGUGUGGUUGUUACAUUACAACGAGGACUAGAUGCAUUCAUGAACCUGAGGAGACUAUAUACGGUGAUUAUAUCGUGGCUAUCAUAUUUACCUAUUUUACAAAGAAUGAUCGGAUAUAAUUUACUGGUACAAUCCAUUGUGUGCCUUUCACGCUUCCGUCAGUUUAAUUUCCUCACAUUUUAAGUAGUCUUGUGAAGUUGUGAUCAGGUAGCUCGCAAUCUGAAUUUCUGUAAUGAAUUUUUUUUGGUCCAACGAGUAAAACGUAGACUUGGUGACCCUCAAAAGGGAUGAUAUUUUACAUAACGAGUAAAUCAUGAUGUCCUUAGAUAUUUCUUAUGAGUAUUUCUUCUUUUCUGCGGAAAAGUUUCUUGUCUUCCGAACUCUUGGAUGUGGGCAGAACUCUUGAUGAGCCGAGGCACCCGCGGCAUGCCAUUGUGAGUCAAGUUUGCCAUUGUUUGAUGGGAAGUUUUCAAGUGCUACAUGUAGAAGGACGCUAUAGUGGCUGCAAUCUUGCUGCUAAGUGACACGUACUGUCACCCUGUUUCUAAUGAAAAAAACUGAAGAACAAUGACUCAUUUAAACAUUGUUCAAUUUUGUGGUUCAUGAGCCUUUUCUUCAAAGUUUACUUAAAAGUUGGGUUAUUAGGUAAAAAAUGGUUCCUUUCCUUUUGUGCUUGCAAUUUAUUGUCCUGACAAAAACACUUUUUAUUGCAGUGCUAAGAAAAUGCGUCUACUACUUGACUGAACUAAAUACUCUUGAUAGCAAACCCUCUCUGGGCAUAUUCGUAGAUUCAAGGUGAGGAGACAUGCCAGCAUACAGACCAGCAACAUACAUGGCACAUGUACGACGUUCUAACAAGAGCAUAAAGUUGAUUGAUUCUUGAUAGCAUCACCUGAAUAUAUCACUCACGGAUUCAUGAAUGUUCCCCGUUGCAAUGCACGGCCAUUCACCUAGUAAAGGCAAUGAUUUGUUGGUAGUAGAGGCAUCUCAUGUUUCAAAGGGUUAAACCUUAGCCGUCGUGACCCGGCUCCAUGGCUGGGUCAAUCUCGCACCUCUGUUGGUGCCGAACCCUAGGCAAAUUCCCCCAAAUCUCUUGUUGUUUCUAUUGAUUGACCGAAUGUGAGGAGCAAUAGUAGAUCAAUAACUCUCGUAUAACCGAGGGAAAAAGAAAUGAAGAGAAGUUGGCGAAAGUAUCAAGUGGUACAUCUACUUUUUAUAACAUCACAUGAAGCCGGCGAAAAGGAAAGCCGAUCAACGAAGAAACUGCAUAGGGGACCUAUCAUGAGUGAACAUUGCGUGGGCGCCAUUGGCCGCAUCUCAUCAUCUUGUUGUGUAGAAGAAGAAAUGACUGCCGAUGCUGCUGGUGCCUCCAUCUCUAUGACCUUGCCGUCCAAGCCCGCAUUAGCAACAAACACGUAGCACUAGAGCACGGGAGGAGAGUUGAUCAGGGAAAUCGCCUUUCUUGACGACAGGAGAAUUAGUGAUGGGCGACUCCACGCGACGCUGAUGUGAUUUCAGGCCACACUAAAGGAUGUCGGAGAAGGGGGCCAUAGGACGAACUCAACCGCAUCGGUAGUGGGCUUGGUGGAUAUUGUGUCGAGGGCUCGGGGACGCACUCGGUGAUGGUGGUGGACCUCGGGGAGGGGGGCCUCAUACACGUGGAUGCAGGGGAAAAGAGGGUGCACGGGCUUGAAGGCAUUACUCAUCCACCUCUUCUGGCAAAGAGAGCUCAUCGGGGCCAACCGCGUGAAGGAGGAGCUUGAGGUAGCUUGGAGGAGGCGACGACGACAACCAGAUCCAUCUGGCAAGCCAGAGUGGAGGCAUCCCACGUGGGAGCAGUGAUUUCGGUGCCUAAGCUUAGAUGCACCUGCUAUUAUGUUUGUUCAUUGCUGCAUGGAGAUUCAGGAAAUGGGGCAUGAGGUGGCAUUGCUAGGGCGUGGAAAAUCCCCAAAAUGAACUAUACAUGCAUGAAUAGUGUGAUACAUGUGGGUCUAUCGUGUAGCACACGAGGAGGGUUCGAACGAAGGACAGACGGUGCCAUCUUGGUUGGAUUCUGAUCCAUGGCACCUAAUCGUCUGCAUUCAUCUAAGUCGUGGCUCACUCUGCUGCCUGUGGCAUGACUUUGACACUUUGAAUCCGAGUCAUGGCCUAAAGAUUUGUGUAGCUCCAGUUGGGGCCUGCGGUGUAGGAUCGUCGGUACGCACACCGAAUGUCAUCCACGACCGACGUCGGCCAACAGAUUGCUAGCUUACUAGACGCUACAAGAGGUAGCGUCCUUCGUGAAGUUUGUGUGCUUCAACACCAACCAGGUCAUCCUAAGCCGUCAUGGACAACCCAUUCAUCUACGUGGUUGACUUCAACAUUGGAGACGACUUCUCAUGGUCGUUGCUCAUGUCACACCUUGCUCACCAUGGCAACAAGCUGUUUCAUGUCACGUCACUUGCCACCACAUUAAUGCACCGCGCGGAUACGCAUGCACCUACAAUCGUGCAUGGUGUCCCUCAGAGUUCACGCGCGUCCCUAGGGGCUCCCAUUCCAGUACGACGAGAAGGACCUCCUGGUCUGGGCUGGAAGUCACGUAAUGGUACCUACAACAAUCUCGAAAAGAGUAGAAGGCCUGGAUUUCGAGAGCAUCUGAGCUCGCACUUAGAAAUCUAUUUUUGUUCCCACGGUCCAUACAUAGAGAGAAACUAGAAAAGAAAAUGCAAAACACGCAUACAUGCAUGCAUGCUUCCACAAAUGGGUUACCAGAUACCUUUCUGGGGCUCUGGUGACCUCACAUUCAUUGUUGACCCCUUACGACCUCACAAUCAUGGGAGAGAUUUCAUGACCGCACACUGUCUCUAUAAAAGCCUAUCACCUCUAUGAAUCAUGUGGCUCCAUCAUUUCAAAUCCUCCGCGCGCCUAAGAUACCACUUGAGAAAUUACUAAUGGCCAACGGAAAGAAUGUCAUGGCCAUGUUGUUUCUCACCACCAUUGUGGCGGUGGCGGCCACAAGGCCAGCCGAGACCUAUGGCGCUGCGGAGGAGAACACAUUGAAGAUGGCUACCCCCAGCAAGAAAGGGGUUGACGCUACCUUAGCAGCUACACGUGUUGUUGCCGCCGAGAAGUCCAUCAAGAAGGCUGAAAGCGCCACCACACCAGAAGAGGCCGCGACUGCCAAGCAAGAUGGAGCAAAAUCUGCUUCUGCUGCAUUAAAGUACAAUGCCAUCUCUCAGCAGGCAAAUGGUAAAGGUUCUUCUACCUCCCUAGGCAGGAAAGAAGCAGCCGGUACUUUAGCCGCCGCACACUAUGCCGCCGCCGAGAAGUCCAUCAAGAAGGCCGAAACCGCCAAGACACCUGCAAAGGCCGUGGCUGCCAAGCGAGACGCAGCAAAGUCUGUUGACAAUGCAUUAAAGUAUGAUGCCAUCUCUCGGAAAGCAGCUGGUACAAGUUCUUCUACCUCCCCCAAUAGGAAAGAAGGCACCACUGAUGCUGCUAAGAUGUUCACCAAGAAGGCUGAAACCGCUACCACACCUGAAGAGGCCGCGAAUGCCAAGCAAGCUGCAGCCAAGUCUACCGCUGCUACAUCAAAGUAUGGUGUCAUUUCUCAGCAAGUAGCUGGUACAAGUUCUUCUACCUCCCCUAGCAGGAAAGAAGCUGCCGGUACCUUGGCAGAUGCUCACAUAGCUACUGCCGAGAAGUCCAUCAAGAAGGCUGAAACCGCCACCAGACCUGAAGAGGCAGCAUCCGCUAAGAAGGAUGCCGCGAAAUCUGAGGCUAAUGCAAUGCAGUACGGGGCCAUCUCUCAGCAGGCCACCGGCAAAAAUGGUGCCUAAGUGGUGCCUUAAACACCUAUUCACGCGCAACAUCAUCUACAUACUACCAUGCACGCAAAAUAGCAGCAUUGAGAUACCACGUUAUGCUAAUUCUCAUGCAUGCAUGCUUUGUUUAAACGUUCACAUUAUGAAUCAUGUAUUAAUGUCUUGCUUGUUUUAUUUUUAGUAGUAAGACACGCUUGACUUGCUUUAAAAAAAAUACAACAAUCGAUGUAUACAUGUAUCAUCUGAAAAUUAAUAAUAUGAGUUCCACCACAAUUUGUGUCUUUUUGUCAUAUUUUGGGUGCAAUCAAUGCACACAUCCAAUACACAAAAUUGGACGAGUCAAUGUGUUAUGGCUCCAUGGAGCGGCGAAUCAUGUUUUAUUGUCUUGCUUGUUUUACUUUUAGUAGUAACUAG
rnacentral:lncRNA from 1 species